rnacentral:lncRNA from 1 species
GACGUAAGCUUGGAAUGCGACUACACAAAAGAUGAUGUAGACUCAUGCACAUUGGAUUACAAGGUACAAUUAUUUUGUUUAGAUAUAUUAGGUAAGACGUACGUAUUGGAACAAGAGAGGAUUCUGAAGUAUCUUUUAAUCUAUCCAAUCCGGAGAUCAUCAUUUUUAUUGUAUAGAACUUGAAAGAAGCUUGGGAGCAUUUACUUCUCUUUAAUGAUAUUCUUUUGGGUUAAGUACAUGAACAUUUUGUGUUGAUGGUCUCAUCUAAAACCUUAAACUGAUUCAAGCACAUAUUGUCCACGAAAAAGUUGUUUAAGAAAACCUGUCUCUUGAAGAUGAAAUUGGACUAUAAAACUGCUAGCGCGGUAUUUGUUCAAGAAUAGAAUUUUUUACCUUUACAGAUCAUGUGAAGAGCUAGCUUUACCACUUUUGUGACUUUGCAAAUAUUGCAGCACAUACGGGAUCAUGGGCUGAAGCUUACCCUGAGAUUAUCACUUGUGCAAAUAUGUUCUGGUGGCCUGCUGGAAAUAGUCCAGCUCUUGCAGCUGAACCAGGCACUGGUCAACUGAACCCUUUGAUUCCCAAAACCUAUGAAGUAGUCAAGAAUGUCAUCCACGAUACCAUCGCCAUGUUUCCAGAUUCCCUCUUUCACGGGGGAGCAGAUGAGAUCAAUUCAGCAUGUUGGAAUACUGAUCCAUCAAUCCAAACGUUUGUUGCUAGCAAUGGAACUCAGAGUCAGCUACUCGAAAUGUUUAUCAAUAAUACCUUACCUGAAAUCCUCUCACUCAACCGUACUGUGGUCUACUGGGAGGAUGUUAUAUUGAGUGCUAAUGUGAAGGUGGAUCCAUCUCUGCUUUCGCCACAACAUGUUAUCAUGCAAACUUGGAAUAAUGGACCAAGCAAUACAAAGCAGCUCGUCACUUCUGGGUACCGUGUCAUUGUGUCAUCUGCAGAUUACUAUUACUUGGAUUGUGGCCAUGGGAGUUUCGUUGGAAAUGACAGCCGCUAUGACCAGCCCCCAGGUACUGACCAAGGCAAUGGUGGAUCCUGGUGUGGACCUUUCAAGACCUGGGAAACCAUUUACAACUAUGAUAUAACCUAUGGUCUGACUGAUAAGGAGGCUCAAUUGGUAAUCGGAGGGGAAGUAGCAUUAUGGUCCGAACAAGCUGAUUCAACUGUUAUGGACUCACGAAUUUGGCCUAGAGCAUCAGCAAUGGCAGAGACAUUGUGGUCAGGGAAUUGCGAUGAAACAGGAAUGAAGAGAUAUGCAGAGGCUACUGAUCGACUGACUGAAUGGAGGUACAGAAUGGUUGCUAGGGGAAUAGGUGCUGAACCUAUUCAACCACUUUGGUGUGUCAAAAACUCAGGAAUGUGUAACACGGUUCAUCCAUUUACUAGCUGAUCGUCAUCAGUGUGUGUAUCAGUCUCUUUUUUCAGUUUGUUUUCGACUUCCUCUCAGUAUUCAUUCAAAACCGAAAAGAGGCUUAUUUAUAUCAUCUUCUAUAUCUAGACAUUUUGUUAUUGUACUACUACCCCUUCUGUUAUCACCACAUUUACUGAUUUGUUACGAAACAAAUGAAUUUGAGAAUAUUUUACAUAGCUGUUUUUCUAAUCUAUACUUGCUGAAUUAGAAUGAACUCUCUUUCUAAACUUUAAGGGGAGUGUAAGAAUUAUCACAGAUAGUUAGGGUGUCUUUUGUGGGAAGGAAAAUGCUUUCCACGGAAAAUGCUUCUUUGUAAAUUAAGUGGGUUUCAAAAUCGACCAAUUUUUUAUACUAGUUAUUGUAAUACCUUACGUAGCCAUUAUAUGGCAUAGCAUGCUUAAAUAAGACCACGUACGUGAGUCGAUAUGGCAUAGCAUGCCUAAAAGCUAGUAUAAGCAUUAUUCUUUAGGACAAAACAAAGAGAUGUAAAUGAUCUGAUUGUUAUUUUCAAUGUUUUCAGGUACAAGAAUCUGUAUAUUGGCAAUAACUUUAACACAAGUUCAAGUCUAAGAUAAGAACACUUAUGAAGUUCCUUAACACCUUCAACACAAGAUUAUGAAUAAUCUAUCCAAGAAGUGUGUUAAAUUUCAAAAAUGAGAUGAAACAGAAUUUUUAAGGCCAAGUACCCCAACUUCACGGAGUGUUCUUAAGGAAUAAUUCCCUCACUGUACCCAAGGUUAUGAAAUCUUCCACCCAGGAUAAAAUGACCUUCAAUCCAACUAUAGUGGUACCUCAAAUAAUUGGAUUCGUCGAACUCACUCAACAACUUAAUAAUUUCACCGAGUUUUUGUAUAGAAGAAGCGUGUUUAUGCUGUCAAAGAUCAUGUCUAUACCUGAGGAAUAUAUCAGGUAUUUAUAACCUUUAAUGUGUCCUUUCAGAAAGGAUGCAGUGGUUUAGCAGAAAGGCGCCUAUUUAGUACAGUCACGUCACCUGCGUCCAGUCUGUGUUGGACCUGCGCCCGAACUGUGGCCGCAGGUGACACUAUUCGAAUUCCAGUGAGCAUCUGCGCUGCACCUGCGUCCGCAGGUCAUUGACUUGAGCGCGCAGAUCUCUCAACAACGCAAAACAGUGUGCCUUUUCCCACGAAGGGUCGCAUCCCUUCGUGAUGCGUUAUGUAUGCGUUUGCAUGGCAUCCGAAAUGCACCCGCACUUGAAGAAAAAUAAUUAUAUCAUAUUUUUGGAUUAAAAUUUCACUUGUAAAACAAGUUUCAAAUAAAAUUUGUCUAAAAAGAUAGAUCUCAUCGAUCGAUCAUUUGACAAAUUCUAAUCCAAAUUCGAAGCCGAGCAGAGCGAGCGACAACGACGACGGCGCGAGGCACCACCUUGUUCUUGCCUCACUAUCCAAGUGGAGUAAGUGUUUCUUAUUAUAAACACUUACAAGUUCUCUUCUCCCACCAAUGUGAGAGAAUUAGUGAACUUUCCUUUAAAACAGUACACUUUUCAAUUUGGUAAAUCUUUUUCCUUCCACUAUUUUUCCUCCAUUUCUAUUCAUAUAUACACCUUGAACCUAACAAUCCCCCACAUGAAUGGGGAAUGACUAUCUUUUGAAGAAAUAUACGGACAAACAUGUGACCAUUUAGCAAACACUAAUUGCAUCUGGAUAAGUAGGUUUUCCUUUGAACUUUCUGUAGUGAACAUGCAUCGGAUGCAUUUGGUCAAUCGGUAGAUUUGAUAUCUUUGAAUCGUCAGGCUUUGAUGUACACCUAGACAACACAUGUCACACAAUCGACCUUUUACUAUUUAUGGUUUUCGCAGUUUUGUUCUUUUCAGUCAUGAACACAUCUCGAUUUUAUGAGAGCUUAGAGAAUAGGCCUUUACUAACAUUCUCCUUAAAACGGCUUCCACUUCUUCCUCACAUAGGUGAUUUCUAAACGUUCAAUCCUAUAGAUUAAACUAUUUGGUCAAAUCUGCCAAAUUUAGAUAAUCAUUAAAAGACUUUUCAUCGUAAGUCUUAUCCUUGUUUACUAAACAUUGUUUACAUCAUGAGAAUAGGUUGGUAUAUUGACAAUGUUGAACCUGUCAGACACAACUUUGUUUGAUCUCCUUGAACCUAGCUCUUGGGAUCUCCAGUCUGCUAGGUAGCGUUACCGUCAUGCUGACUUGUCCUAGGCCUUAAAUCCAUUCCCUUGGAUGUCCUCUCAACUCCUUCUCUAGAUAGGCCUUUUGUAAGUAGAUCCGACACAUUAUUCUUUGCCUUUACAUAGUCAAUAGUGAUAAUUCCACUAGAGAGAAGUUCUCUAACGGUAUUAUGUCUUCAUUUUAUGUGACGAGAUUUAUCGGCGUACAUCAUGCUCCGUGCCCUACCUAUUGCCGCUUGGCUAUCACAGUGUAUACAUACUGGUGCCACUGGUUUAGGCCAAUAAGGAAUAUCUUUCAAGAAAUUUCGGAGUCAUUCUGUUUCUUCACCGAUUUUAUCCAAUGCGAUAAAUUCAGAUUCCAUUGUAAAGCGAGCAAUACAAGUCUGUUUGGAUGAUUUUCAAGAGACCGCUCCUCCAUCGAUAGUAAAUACAUAUCCACAUGUGGAUUUUACUUUGGUGAUUCAAUUUGUAUCACUAUAUCCUUCAAGUACCGCGGGAUAUUUAUUAUAAUGCAAGGCAUAGUCUUGAGUAUAUUUAAGAUACCCCAAAACUCUUUUCAUGCCAUCCAAUGAGUUUUGUUGGGAUUACUCGUGUACUGACUCAACUUACUAAUAGCGCAUGCUAUGUCUAGUCGUGUACAAUUCAUUAUAUACAUUAAACAUCCCAAUACUCUUGCGUACUCCAAUUGUGAGUCACUUUUACCUUCAUUCUUUCGAAGUGCAAAGUUCACAUCCAAUGGAGUCUUGGCAAUACCGAAUUCCAUGUACUUGAAUUUGUCAAGUAUAUUUUCGAUAUAAUGAGACUAUGACAAUGCCAAUACUUGUGGAGUUCUAUGAAUUAUUAUUCCUAAGAUCACAACUGCAAAUCCAAGGUCUUUUAUAUCAAACUUGGUCUUAAGCAUUCAUUUCGUUGUAUUUAUGUCAGAAAUGUCUCUACUGAUGAUCAACAUAUCAUCCACAUAUAAACAAAUAAUGACUUGGUGAUUCGGAGUGUCUUUAAUGUAACACAUUUAUCACAUUCAUUUAUCUUGAACCCGUUUACCAACAUGGUUUGGUCAAACUCCACAUGCCAUUAUUUAGGUGCUUGCUUUAGUCCAUACAACGACUUAAUAAGUUUAUACACCUUAUUCUCUUUUACUGGAACCACAAAACCCUUAGGCUGUUCCAUGUAAAUUUCUUCCUCCAAUUCUCCAUUUAGGAAUGCUCUUUUCACAUCUAUUUGAUAGAUUUCAAGCUCAUAUACCGCCGCCAAGGCAAUUAACAUUCGAAUCAAUGUUAUCCUUGUUAACAGCGAGUAUGUAUCAAAGUAAUCAAGGCCUUCUUUCUGUUUGAAGCCUUUUACUACAUGUCUUGCCUUGUAUUUGUCAAUAGUACCAUCCGUCUUCAUUUUCCUUUUGAAGAUCCAUUUAGAACCUAAAGAUUUAUUUUCUGGAGGAAGAUCAACCAAUUUCCACGUAUGAUUGCUUAAGAUUGAAUCAAUCUCACUAUUGACUACCUCUUUCCGAAAGAAUGAAUCUGAAGAUGUCAGCACUUCUUUAAAUGUUUGAGGCUCAUUUUCUAAGAGAAAUGUUACAAAAUCUAAUCCACACAAAGUUGAUGUUCUUUGACGUGUAGUAUGUCUUGAAUUUUCAUCAGUAUGUACUUUCUCACUUGGUUCAUCUCGAGAUCGUUUAGACCCUCCACUAGACUGUUUAUUUCUAGUCUUAUACGGGUAAAUAUUUUCAAACAAUUCAGCAUUAUAUGAUUCAAUUAUCGUAUUUUCAUUAAUAUCCGAAUGUUCGAAUUUAUGAACCAAAAACCGACAUGCUUUACUACUUUUAGCAUAUCCUAUGAAUACACAGUUCACUGUCUUAGGUCCUAACUUAACCCUUUUAAGCAUAGGAACUUGGACCUUCGCUAGACACCCCCACAUUUUGAAAUAUUUUAAGUUGGGUUUCCUUUCUUUUCAUUUUUCAUAAGAAAUUGAUUGUGUCUUACUAUAUUGAGUAUUCAGUUGGCUGUAAGGAUAGCCUCCCUCCACAAGCUUUGCGGUAAACCUAAACUUAUAAGUAAGACAUUCAUCAUUUCCUUUAAAGUUUGGUUUUUUCUUUCCGUAAUUUCAUUAGAUUGAGGUGAAUGCGGGAUCGUAGUUUGAUGAAAAAUUUCAUUCUCUACACAAAUUUCAGUGAAGGAAGAUUCAUAUUCUCCGCCCCUAUCACUUCUUAUAGUUUUAAUUUUUUUCUCUAACUGAUUUUCAACUUCAGUUUUGUAUUACCUAAAUGCAUCUAUUGCUUUAUCCUUACUAUUUAGCAAACAGACAUAACAAUAUCUAGCGCAAUCAUCGAUAAAAGUUAUGAAAUACUUUUUCCCACCACGAGAUGGUAUUGACUUCAUAUCACAAAUGUCAGUGUGUAUUAAGUGUAAGGGAUUGAAAUUCCUUUCCAAACUUAUAAGGAUGCUUUGCAUACUUUGAUUCCACACAUGUCUGACACUUUAAUUUAUUACACUCAAAGUUUGGCAAAAUUUCUAAGUUAAUCAAUUUUCGCAAUGUUUUGUAAUUUACAUGGCCUAAUCGUUCAUGCCACAAAUCGUAAGACUCAAGCAAGUAACAAGAAAUUGAAAUUUUAUUGAUUUCAAUAUUCAUUAUAUUCAUUUUGAAUCGGCCUUCAUUGAGGUAGCCUUUUCUUACAUACAGUUCCCCUUUACUAAGUACAAUUUUUCUGAAAAUAAAUACACAUUUGAAUCUAUUUUUGUCUAGGAGUGAAAUAGAAAUCAAGUUCUUCCGUAACUCUGAAACAUAUAAGACAUUGUUAAGUGUCAACACUUUACCGGAAGUCAUCUUCAAGCACACUUUUCCUGUUCCUUCUAUUUUUGCAGUAGCGGAGUUUGUCAUGUUGAUCUUUUCUUCUACUUGAGCCAGAGCGAAAGUCGAAAACAACUCCUUAUUAGCACAAACAUGGCGGGUGGAACCAGAAUCCAUCCACCAUUCGCUAGGAUUUCCUACCAAGUUGCAUUCGGAAAGUAUAGCACACAGAUCAUCCAUUUCUUUCUUAGACUCAGCCAGAUUUGCUUGGUCCUUCUUCUUCCCUUUCUUCGGGGCAAGACAAUCCAUAGACUUGUGGUCAAUCUUGCCACAGUUGAAGCACUUUCAUUUGAAUUUCUUCUCAGGUUGAUUGUUUUUACUUCCAGCUUUCUUUCUCUUUUUAGAGUUGUUUUGGUCAUUUUCUACAAUGUUUGCUCCAUUCAUUGUAGAAUUGCCUCUUGACCUUCUUUACUUAGCCUUAUUAUCUUCUUUAAUGAGCAGUCGUACAAUCAAAUCUUUGACGGACAUCUCCUUACAUUUGUAUUUCAAAUAGUUCUUGAAGUCCUUCCACAUAGGUGGUAGCUUCUUUAUUAUUGCUGCUACUUGAAACACUUCAUUCACGAUCAAAACUACAACAAAGGUCAUAUGAAUACUAAGAACAUAUUUAAACUGUUCAACAAAGGUAUUUGUUAAAAUCACACCUUCCGUCAGGAGAUCAAGGAAGAUCACUUGCAGUUCCUGCACUUGGAAAACAACAAACUUGUUGUCUAUCAUUUUAUACUCCAGGAAUCUUACAACGAAGAACUUUUUAGUUCCGACAUCCUCAGUCUUGUACUUCCGUUCUAGUGCUCCCUAUAACUUUUUUGUUGUUUUUGUUCCACUAUACACAUUAUAGAAAUCAUCUUGAAGACCACUAAAGAUGUAGUUCCUGCAAAGGAAAUCUGAGUGUUUCCAAGCCUCUACAAUCACAAAUCGCUCUUGUUCAGAAGUUUCCUCUGACACCUUUGGAGCUUUCUCUGAACCUUUGAAGACAAAGAGUGGUGAGGUAGAAGAACAUUUUUUGCUGCCACCUCUUGAAGUCAAUACCUGCAAACUUUCUGGGUUUCUCCGCUGGUGCCAUUGUCGGUGGAGCAUUCGUGCGACUUGUUGUGGCAAUACUAGUUGCCCCCAUAGUCGUUGUAGCAUCUUGCACUUAACUAUUGUUAAUCAUUUUCCUGUCACAACAAGACAAUACCUUUAGUAUAUCGAAAUACUUAUUAAAAAGUUGCAGCAACUCUAAGCACCUCUUGUUUCUAGUUUAACGAUGAAGUUUUUAUGACUUUCAAUCAUCAACCGAGUAAUCUUUAACUUGUGAUGAAAAUUUUAUGUCUUCAAAUCACCAGUUAAGUUCAAACGGAGUAGAAAGCUUAAAACUUUAAUCUCCAGAAAUCAAGCAAUACAGAUUCUGAAAAUUAUUCCUUAAGAUAGUUAUUUUCAAUGUUUUUGGGUACAAAAAUUUGUAUAUAGGCAACAACAACUUCAACAAAAGUUCAAGUCUAAGACAAGAAUACUUAUGAAGUUCUUUAACACCUUCAAUACAAGAUUAUGAAUAAUCUAUCCAAGAAGUGUGUUAAAUUUCAGAAAUGAGAUGAAGUAAAAUUUUUAAGGCCAAGUCCCCCGACUUCACGGAGUGUCCUUAAGGAAUAAUUUCCCUCACUGUACCCGAGGUUAUGGAAUCUUCCUCCCAGGAUAGAAUGACCUUCAAUCCAACUAUAGUAACAGCUUAAUGAUCACACAGAGUUUUUGUAUAGAAAAAGAGUGUUUUUGCUAUCAAAGAUCAUGUCUAUACCUGAGGAAUAUAUCAGGUAUUUAUAGCCUUUAAUGUUUCCUUUCAGAAAGGACACAUUGGUUCUGCAGAAAGGCACUAAUUCAGUACAGUCACGUCACUUGCGUCCAGUCUGUGCUGGACCUGCACCCGAACUGCGGCCGCAGGUGACAGUGUUUGAAUUCCAGUGAGCAUCUGCGCUGCACCUGCAUCUGUAGGUCAUCGACUUGCACGCGCAGAUCGCCCAACAGUGCGAAACAGUGUGCCUUUUCCCUCGAAAGGUCGCAUCCCUUCGUGAUGAGUUAUGUAUGCUUUUGCAUGACGUCCGUACUUGAAGAAAUAUAAUUAUAUCAGAUUUUUGUCCUUAAAAAUUCUGUUUCAUCUCAUUUCUGAAAUUUAACACACUUCUUGGAUAGAUUAUUUAUAAUCUUGUGUUGAAGGUGUUAAGGAACUUCAUGAGUGUUCUUGUAUUAGACUUGAACUUGUGUUGAAAUUGUUGUUGCUUAUAUACAAAUUCUUGUACCCAAAAAUAUUGAAAAUAACACUAUAAUCCAUAAACCAAGGGACUCAAAUACGGGAGGACGCGCAAUUCCAUUACUUUCUUAUCUAAUAAAAAUAAAUUUACUUUCUUACUUCCCUUGCUGUAUCAUUGUGUUAUUGUGGAUUGACUUUUGAAUUUUCUAAUAGUACCAUAAAAACAAUUACUAUACAAUUUCUUGAAGUCUAACGCAAGAUUCAAUCAUUAACUCAAGGGUAAGGCUAGUAAAACUUGCUUUAGUAUCCAAAAUUUUGAGGCUUCAAAAAUUUUAAUAGUAAACUCUAUGAUUUCAACUUCACUUGAAAUAAUAAUGAAGAUUGUGAAAUACACUAAAAAAAUUUUAAAAAAAGAGAGAGAAAAAGUUAUCUCAUUUCUACAAGAAAUAUUUUAGAACUUUAAACUAAACAACUCAAAGUUUAUAUUAAUAAAUAAAGUUUUAACAACAACGUCAAGUUAAUGCAUUGCAAACAAAUUGCUGACAUCUUAUUAACUAGAAUUAGUCCAUACUUUUAUUAAUAAUCAUGUUAAUAUGUGAAAUUAAAGGUUAUGUGUCUUCUAAAAAUAGUACACCAAAACAACUACUAUGCAAGAACAAAUAAAACAACUCCAAAUUAUUACAGUAGUAUUUUUGUGUGUAUGUUUAUGUAUGUAAGAGCUCUUAUUAAAAUUUAAAUUUAGGCCAUUCAGACGUUCCUGGUACACGUAGACAGAGAUUUAAGAAACUUCAUCACCUUCAUCUUUCAACUUGCAAAAUACCUGUCUAUCGUACCCAAACUUGUUGAUUUUGCCUCAAAUACAUUUUAUACAAGAGUAGACACGUUUUUUUACCAAAAAAACAGAUUUUUGAAUGAAGCUUCCUAUUCUAUGCAUUCUAUAUUUUUUUGGUAGUAACUCUUUAUCGAGAAAUAGAAACCAAGUACGUAAACUCAUCCGCACCGAUCAUGGCCAAUAAAUCUCUUUAGGCUUGAAGACCAUUGUCAAAAUUAAUAUUCGUUUUGAUACUUGCAAUGGCAAUCCGAGCCGCUUCUCUAUCUCUAUCCCGCUUCGACCUGACCUUUUUUUUUUCGAACUGCUUCACCCACAACAACUUGCUCUUUUUCCUCUUCAUCUGUUUUACAUCAAAUAAUCCGCCAAGAAAAGCUGUUGGGGUUUGAUAAUUAUAUCAACGUAACAGUUCUUCAAUGUGGGAUUAACCUUAUUAUCUUUUUCCACCUUAUUCUCAUGAUGAGUGCCAUUUAACUUAGACUGACAAUGGCAACCAUAUAUAAAAAUAAAGAAGAAAGCAACACUUAGUGAUACUCACUAUUUAUAUACUAAAUUGUGUGCACUUAAAAAUUAUGCGUAAAUAUUUACUGAUUUUAUUUGGGAAAAGUUUAAGAAAACUUUUGCAACGUAAUUACUUGUUUGUCAAGUCUAAAUUAAAAAUCAUCCAACCGUAUUUUCUACUGAAAUUAACCGUAAAAACUUACCCAUAUUCAGAGUAAUUGUAGUUUAAUAUUACAUGCAUUACUCAAAAAUUUUUUCUUAAAUAAUAAUGUAAAAUCUAUUGCGGGCAUGUGUAGGGGUGGCAAUGGUGUGGUACAAAUUUUUUCUAAACCCGCAAAUCUUAAAAUCGCAUCACAUCACCUUUAAACCAAUAUAAACUCUCUCCAUACUCAUAUCCGCGCAUAUCUGCACCGUACCGCCUCACAUUUUUGUUUUUUUCUUUUUUGAAAAAAAUUAUAACUCCGUUGAAAAUCAUAAUAUUUUUCUAUUAUAUCACUUUUAACUAAGAAAUUGUCAGAAAAGUCACGUGUACAACUAAUGAUCCAAUAUCAAAUUUUCAUUAAGAUGAAUAAAGAAAUUAAAAAAAGUUACAAAAUUAUUUAUUUGUAAUGUUACACAUGUUGUUUUAAGUAUCAUAAAAUUUUAAGUGAAAAAUAUAAUUUUAAAUAGAUUCACAAGAAUAAUAUUAAUUUUUAUCUUUUUUUGUUUAAACCCGCAUAUAUCUGCAACCUGCCUCGUACCACAUUAUUUAAAAAAAAAAAACUUACUUAAACUCGCCUCGCACCCACAUAGUCUAAAACCCGCACCGCUCCAGUGUCAUCCCUAGGCAUGUUACGAAGAGGUGUUUGGAUGUACCUGUCAAGGAUGACUCAAGGACAAGACUAGUUUAGCGUUUGCUUUAGGUCCCAAAAUUUUGAGGCGCCAAAAUAUUUAAUAUGAAUUUUAUGAUUUUAAUUUCACUUAAAAUAAUUUUAAAGAUUGUAAAUAUGAAAGGUACAAAAUUUAAAUGAAAAAAGGAAAGAAAGAAGAACUAUCUACUUUUUAUUAAAAAUAGGAAAAAUAGUCAGAAAUAUAUUUAAACUUUGACAAAAUUUACUGUAAUGCGCUUCAACCUUAUGGGGGCCCUAUGACCCCCCUCGACUAUUUAUUAGUGUAUUUCUGUGGUAUAUAUUUGUCCAGUUGAAAUAUAUUUAAUUAAUUUUCAACUCUUAAAUAUUAGAAAAAAUAGUGAAAAGAUGAUUUUAUCUAAUGCAAAAACUUUUAAUGAAGGGCAAAAAAUUCAAAGAAUAUUUAUAAGACCUUCACAGUUUUAAUAUAUUAUAGAUAUAAAUAUAAAUUCUAUACUUAGAAACUUUCAUAAAAGAAUUUAAAAUUUAAUUCUAAACAAAAAGGUUCAAAAUACAUUUACGAUUUGAAAAUGCUUAUAUAAAUGAAAUAAGUAGUUAUAACUAUAUAUUAUUCUAAUUUAUUUUUUAUUUUUUUAAAAAAAGAAUAAAAAAUAUUGCUAAUAAUUUUUCUGUUGUCAAACAUAUAUUAUACUAAAUAAGUAUGUCCGUGCUUUGCAUGGGCCCAACGGUAAAGUCAAUAUAUAGUUCUUAUGUUUGUCUCAAAUAAUGAAAUUACAGAACAUGAAUCUAAAUAUUAAUAUAAUAGAGUGAUGGGUUCUAUUGGACACAACGAUAAUUUGAAUAAAAUAAAUAUUUAUUUGUGAAUUGACUAAAUAAAAUUAUAUCAUUUUAAAACAAAGAAGACAUAUAAUUGCAUAAAGUCGUGUACUUUAUGUAGAGAGAAUUAUUAUACCUCCUUCGUGUCUCAAAUUACUUAAUAUGUUUGUUAAAAAAUUUGUCUCAAAAUACUUGAUAUAUUUAAGAAUAACCGAUAAUUAACCAAUUUUUUCAACUAUAUCAUAUUAAUUUAAAAAUGCAUCUAAUUAAGAUUAAAUAUGAUCAUAUUAGUCAGUUUGCACCUCUUAUUAAUUUAUCUUAAGAGUUGUAUCAAACAAAUGUAACUCAAUAAAGAGGAAUUGAAAGUUUUGGUUCCCACAAGCACAAAAUAUUUUGCAUUAAAUAAUAAUAUGAUUUAGACAAAUACUUUAUGAAAUGUCUAACACGGUGUAAUUUAGAUGUAAAGAAAAUCAUUCAUUUGGUAAUAUACGACCAUCAAGAUUAAAUUACAAAUAUUUUAACUAAUCUCUUUAUAAAAAUAACAUACGAGUAUAAUUUCACGUAACUAUUCUUAACAUAAAGAGAUCAUAUUGGAUUUACACAAAUCUUCCUUGAGAAUUAAAAUAGGCAAGCAAAACCUUUCAUGCAUAUCAUUUGAGUAACUUGCUUUUGAUAAAUAGUAUGAGCAAAUAGUCCAUUAAAUGAGUUCAAGCUAACCAUUUGAGAGAAUUCUCAUAUUCAAGCUAACAACUUAAGAGAAUUCUCAUAUUCAACUGACCUGUAUUCAAGCAGAAGUGUUCAAUCGAUUACGAAUUGAUUUGUGAACAUUAUAAAUCAUAAUCUAGUAGAAAUUUUUUAUCCUGUAUAAAAAAGUAAUGUAUGUUUAAAGUCUUAUUAAUCGCUCUUGAACUCAUCUAAUGGACUAUUUGCUCAUACUAUUCAAGAGCACUUUAGAGAAUUCUCAUAUUCAACUGACCUGCACUUAAGUAGAAGUGUUCGAUCAAUUACAAAUUGAUUUGUCAACAUUAUAUAUCAUAAUCUAGUAGAAUUUUUUAAUCCUGUAUAAGAAAAUAAUGUAUGUUCGAAGUCUUAAUAAUCGCUCUUGCUGGACCGCACUUCUAAAAUCACACGGAAAAAAAGUCCAGUAACAGAGAAUGCAAUAUGUUAUUUAACUCAUGGUCAGUUGAUUAAUAAAUAUUUUAGAGUAGUACAUUCCAAAGAGUGAGUUGAGAAACAUAGAAGCAUAGUGAAGCAUAAUCUCAAGAAGGUUCAGCAUAAAACAAAUGAAAAUUUACCAUCAAAAUAGUUUUCUAAAAAUAAAAGGCAGCCUGGUGUACUAAAGCUACCGCUAUGCGCGGUGUUCGGGAAAGGGAGCCACCACAACAGUGUGUCGUAUGCAGUCUUACCUUACAUUUCUGCUAGAGGUUGUUUCCAAGGUUUGAAGCUGUGACCUCCUGGUCAUAUGACAUCAACUUUACCAGUUACUCCAAGGCUCCCAUUCUAUCAAAAUAGUCGUCUGGUUCUUACAAAAAGUCCUGGAAAAGAAUCCACCAUUUAUCUCGUGAAGUAUCAAUUUAUUAUAUGGAGAGAAAGAAGCACAAGAACACCAUAAUUCUAAAAGUUACAUAAGAACUCUAACAUUGUUCUCUCACUGCCCCUUUGGACGCCUACAAUCAGUUAACCUGGAAGAAAAAUGUGAUAAAAAUAAUCAAGAGCCGAUAACAGAUUUUUUCGGCAGAUUUUACUUCAAAUUAAACUCAUCUUGAUAACUUCAAUAGUGUCCAUUAUAGAAGUGCCAAGGAGAAGAGUUUUACAAUUGAAGUGCAUCAAUAUUGAAUAUAUAAUAGAUAUUACAAUCACUGUCUCCCACUAUUUCAUAACAUUUAUAAUCAUAGUCAUGUCAACUACUCAAAAUAAAACACGGGACAAAUGAUUACAUGCGAAAUAGAAAAAAAUUUCACAUAAUAGAUAACACCACUAUAGACAUUGAUCCAAGAACUUGAAUAUAAUUUCUCAAGAAUAAUUGUAGGAAUUCAAGCUUUAAGGCCUAAAUCUUAUGUAUAUUCAAAGCUAUUUUAUGGUGGUUCUAUUUUGUAGUAGGAUUCUCCAAAUAAAGUAAAUUUAUUCGCAGGACAAAGUUAUACGGUUUAACGUCUUCAGUUUUUUCUAGAAAGAAAAAAAUAAUAGAUUUUUCAUGAUCAUAUAGGUGGUUCAACUUAUGCAUGAGGUAUGCUACUAUUACGUGAAAUCUGAAUUUUAGCAACGACAGUUGAUAACACACAUUUCAGUUUGGGAUCUAUGGAAAAAAUAAAGGUAAACGUCAAAGUUAGAAUGUUGAUGUGUGUUGAGUAAUCAGAAGUUAUAAAAACCUACAAAUUAACUAAUUUUAGCAAUCACCUUUUGUAUGUUUGAGUGCAAUUAGCUCCAGCAAAUACUGAAUACAUGCAUUACUCCAUGAUAUUAUAGAAGCAUAAUUCAUGAUGUGUGAAAAGAAAUGAGAAUAUCUUCUAUAGAAAGCCACAAUAUUUUAUAAAAAAUAAGUUGUUCUUGGCCCUUUGAUUUAGUUUAGAAAAUGAAGCUCUUUUAUUACGUGAAAAGAAAAGUUAAAGAGGUUCAUUAUAGAAAGAAAACGACUUGGAGGGUGUUUGGAUUAACUUUUAAAAGGUAGCUUAUAAGCUAAAGCUAAAAUCCAUAAGUUGGGAAUACCCAACUUUUGACUUUUGACUUAUUUUUAUAUUUAUGUGGUCUAAAACUGAGUGCAUAAAAGGACUUUAUAACUUUUUCAAACAUCAAAAAUGAUUUUAAAAAAACACUUAAAAUAAGUCAAUCAAUAUACCUGUUAGUUGCAUUCAAAGAUUUUUCACUCACUAAAUAAUCAAUGAUAACAGAGCAAAGAUAGGUGAAAAUUUGCAGAACAUCAUAUGUCAAUUUCAAAUGACCAACAAAUUGUAGAUAAAGGAUGGUUGUUAAACCGCAUGACCAAUAGAAGUGUAUAACAUAAGAGUUGUAAAGAUUCUAGCAUCUCUCUUUUAAUUUUCAAAGAUCAUUAUAAUAACUUUCAUAAUAACUCAUAUUCUUUGAGAAAAACAUGUGCAGACAACAAAAAAGUAGUUGAAAAAAUAUAAAAGAAUGUUUUCUAUGAUUUUAACAUAAGAAAAAAAAACACAAUAAUGAUAAAGUUCUUUUAGUUCAGUCAUCUGAUAGAAAGAGAUAGAAUACUAAUUAUUGUAGCAACACAGGUAUGCUAUAUUAUGCAGACUACUAUUCUCAUUUCUUGUAUUGUCUGUAGUUUUCUCUUUUAGGUUGUAUAUCUAAGUGAAACAGAAGAAAGGUAAUAAUUACAACAUAUUAAUGACCUCUUCUUCGAGAACUUUGAUUAUGAGGAUUUUCAUUUCUAUCAAAAUAAUUAUUUUACGUUGACCUUCUCUAAAUGAUCGACCCUUUGACAAUAAAAUUCAAAAUGAAAAUUGAAUUAAUAAGUCAGUAGGUGACCUCUUUUCUUUUACGGGUUCAAGUCAUUGGUAUUUAAUAAGUAAGUAAGCGAUAUGUAACUACAGUGGACUUCUAUUGAACAAAUUAAGUAAUCUGCGUAAAUCAUGAAAUGAGCUCCAUAUAAAAUUUCAUAGUUCAAAAGAAAUUCAGAUGUCAAAAUCUAAACAACAAGUGCAUUUAAAUGAAGAAACAAAAUACUCACUUGUAUAGAUGUCUACUGAUCUUGUAACAUUUUUUCAUAACUUUUAUCUUUGGCUCAUGCUAAUUUCACUUUUUCUCAUAAUUCUCAAUAUAUAAUCUCAAAAAUGCAUUUUCCCCUUUCUACUCCUUUAGAAGAGCUUUUAGAGCAAUUGCACCUCCCAUGGACUGCCCAAAUAUAAAGUGAGGAAGCCCUCUAGCUACUGGCCUACCUAGUGAAUCACAAGAGAAAUCAAUAAAUUGUCACAAGAGGAGAAGCAUGUUCUAACAGAAAUUAGAAAAGCUGUGAAUAUACUCCGAUUGGGGUUUAAUAGAUUUUGUUUUUCGCAUUGUCUAAAUGUUUAGCAACACACUAACAUACCUAGUGUAUUCUCACAGGUGGGGUCUGAAAAGGAUAGAGUAUAUGUGGACCUUAUCCCUACCUCAUGGAAAUAGAAAGAUUAUUUUGAAAGACCCUCGACUCAAGAAACACAUAACAAUACAGUUUGAAAAAGACAAUAUAGAGGUAAACAAGAUAUAUAAAAUAAUAAGAUAGCAUAAAAAGUGUUCGUAGAACGCCUAAGUGGUAGUUCUCACUACAUUAGAAAAUUAAGACGAAGCAAAAACUCACUGCAACUUACCUUUAAUCUUCAGAUACUGUUCAUUGACACUGUCAACUGUAUCAUCGAAUUCAGGAUUAUAUCCAUGAAAACCAUUAGAUAGAUUAAAACGGGAUGAUCAAUAGCAUAGAUGGUGUAGCCAGCAACCGCUAUAUGCUUUGCAAUAACUGAAUAUAUUAUCAUACAAAAGAAUAUAAAUAGGCACAAAAUAAUGAUAAUACACCAGAAAUUGAUAGGGUCUGUAGAUAAAGAGAGAACACUAAACCUUUAAAGAAGAAAGUGCAAGUAUCACCAUAUCCAUGACUGAAGCACAAAGCACCUUUAAUUCGUACGCUAGGCUUUGGCAACCUAUUUUUAUAGAAAAUUUGUUGGCCUUUGAAAUUUGUUUCAUACCACCACAAAAUGCACGCAUACAAAGCAUCACUAACUAAAUAUUUCAUUAUGCAACUUAAAGGCUUAAGAGAAGCAACAAAUUCACCCAAAAAAAUAAUGUAAUAAAAAUCUAAUGGGAAUCCUGAUUGAGGAAGUUUUUCAAACACUUAGAGAAUAAAAGCACAAAUUAAACUUCCAGAGCAGUAAAGAAGCUGCUCUCAAGAGACAAAAAAAAAUAAAUCUAUUACAAAAUCAAAUAUGAAAAAGAGAAACAUAUACAUCAAUAAUCUCUUUGUUCAUUCUUAUCAACUGUAAACAACUAAUUUUUAACCAAACCUAACGUUUUUAUAUCAUUUUAGUGUUUAAUUUUUUUUUAGGUCUAAAUUAGAUAUUUUAAAUUUAUCUUAUUUUACAAAGUUUGUUUAAAAGUUUUGAAAACUACAAAAAUAGAGUCACAUUUUAAUAAGCUUUUAUUUUUAUUAUUUAUUUAUUAAUUAAUUGAUUUAAAAUAAUAAUAAUAAUAAAAAUUAUAUUUGUCUUCUUCUUUUAACUUUUAAUAAAGAAUCUAGUGAAAUUAAUAUUUCUUAAUCAUAUUACUAAGGCUAUCUAUUUAACUUAUUUUAUUAAUUUUAAAUAGAUUUUAUCAUUUUUAUUUCUAUUUAAAAUAUUUUUUUUAAAAAAAAAAACUAAAAGCUACCCCAUCACCCAUUACCUCCACUACCCAAACUACCCCAUCACCCAUUACCUCCACUACCCAAACCACCCCACAAUUCCAACUUCCUCCACCCAUACGCACAACACACACUUGCACACACAAAAUUUCACACAAAUACACUCCCUAUAUAACACACUCACAACACACUAUAGAAAGAGGGAGAAACCCAUACGGAUUACGAAAAAAAGAAAGUUGAGGAGAAAACAAAAAAACCAAGAAGAAAACAAAGGAAAACAGAAAGGAAAAGUAAGUGAGAAAACAAGAGAAACAGUAAGGAAAAGAAGAAAGAAAACAAUAGGGAACAAAGAAGAGCAAGAAGAAACACACGAGUGAGAAGUGGAGUUUGGGGUUUUCUCCAUUCAAGUUUUUUUUGGGUUCGACAUAAGAGCUCCUCUUUUGAUUUAGUUCUUCAUAUAAGUUUUUAUUUAAUUCCUAUACCAUUAUUUUUGUAAAUUUGGUUAUGAAUCGAAGCAUGAAUAGAGUUAUUUCCAUGACUUUUUCUAGUAUUCAUUAUGUGCAAUUUAUUAUUUUUAUAUAGUUUACUUUAUGUCGCCAUUUAUAACUAGUUUGCUAUUCCAAAGUAACGUUAACUAAAUUUGAUUAAUUUCCAAAUGAGAUAGUCGUUAAGGUCAUUAGCAUUAAAAUAUGUAACGUUGUAUUCGGUUGGCAUGCGAUUAGUACUAUUGUGUGGUAACUAGAAUCUUCGACCUAUAUGCGUGCAUGCAUGCAAAAAGAAUUUUUAAAAAAAAAUGCACACACAUGCACACAUUUUACCACCCUAAACAUUCUUAUAAGAAAAUAUUGUGAGAUGGAUAUAGUGAAAAAAAAAGAAAACAAAAAAAAGAAAAAAGAAAUAGGCAGUACUAAAGAAAAGAGUAGAAUGUUUUAAUACAAGUUUUUUUCUUACUAUGCAAAAAUUAUUUUAGAUAUGGAGUUUGUGUUUGUUAGUAUAUGACGUUGAUGAAGGGUACAAUUGUUUUAUACAGUUUUGAGACUAUAGAAUUGGUACAAGUUUGGUUCAAUAUAGAAGAUCACCUAGAGAAAAUCAAGAGCAACAAUUUAGUUUUAAGAAAAGAUUUAAGAUGACAGUAGUAUUUUUUUAUUUAAUUUUAUUAUUAUCAUUUUUUUAAUAAAUAAAUUUGUUAUGUUGAUUAUAUAUUUUCUGUUCUUUUUUGCUUUGUUGUUAACUUCAUUAUUAUGAUAACUUUGUUAACUGUAAUCUUAUUAAUUAAAUUUUAUUAUGUUAUUAUGUUAAAUUACUUUUAAGUAAUUUUGUUUAGCUUAUAUAUAGUUUUGUUCGUUAAAGCGUAAGACUAAUCCUUUUCAUUUAAAAAGAUUAAAAUAUAUAAUCAUAACUGCAUACGAGAAAGAGAGAAGAAAAACUCAUUUGCAAGGGAAUGGACUUGUAAAAGAACGAGUUAGGUUCUUAAUCUCAAGAAAAUUUUAAGUUUAAUACAAGUGAAAGUUAACGAUGAAGUUGGAAAGCCCUGCUACCGACCAUUCGUUAUAAUAAAUUAACCUACCGUUUGAAGCCGAUUGAAUUAGGUUGGGUAGAUUUUAAACCUAUUAGGUGCUUAUUUAGUCUAGAAAAAUGGGAACGACUCAUAAAUGCCUCAAAGGUACGAGAAAUGUAUCAAAACUUGUGGUAUGACCGGAAAGUACUGCUGCUGGCAAGCCACACAUUAAUAUAAUUAAAUAAUUUAAAAUAAAUUCAAAGUAGGAUGUGAAUAACUUUUAGGCUAACAAAUAUUUUAUAUAUCUAAAAGAUUAAUUUAAGUCAGGCGUAAGUCAUUAAAGAGACCGUGCUAGAAUCACGGAACUCGAGGGAUGCCUCACACCUUCCCCUCGGUCAAUAGAAUUCCUUAUCCAAAUUUCUAGUUUGCAGAUCAAAAAUAAAGAGUCAUUUCUUUUUUAAUAGGGAUUCAAUAAGAUGACUUGGAACACCCAAACUCAAUUCCAAGUGGCGACUCUGUAAAUAAAAUAAUCUCUAUUCAAAACGUCACUUUAUUUGAAAAAACUCAUUUUUCUCUAAAACCAACUCCCUAGCGGGGUUGGGGCGGUAAAAAAUAGGGGUGUGACAGAUGGCGAUUUCACUGGGGAUAGCCAGAAUUCGAGCUUUUAUAUUGACUUAUUUGACUUUAUUUAAUUUUGAUAUUAUAUAUUGUUGGCUUAAACGUGUUAUUUGCCUACAUAUUUAAAUGCUUUGAAAUUAUUUGAAUUGCAAUAUAAAUUGUCUACUCUCGCGCACCCAUCUGAGUAUUCAGAGAUACUUUAUAUUCAGAGAUGCGGUAUACACUCCCGAGCCUUGAGAUACCAGAGAUGCGGCAACGCUCUUGGGAAGGAUUCUAUAGUCACACAUGAUUUAGGAUGGGAAGGACUAACGGUGAGGUCGGAAAGCACUGCUACCGGUAAAGUUGUCCCUGCCUGACUCGAGUUGUUCUCUCAUUUUAUAGCCAAUCUAGAUACCUAACGCCGCCAGGUUAAACCUAGUAGAACUGAAACUUAAACAUGAUUAUCCCUAUUAGGCUCUACUUUAUUUGCAUAACGUGCAUUUUUAACUUAGUGGAGGCUCGACAAAGUUUUGAAUGUCUAAAAGUACCCUAUUUUAAGACUAUUCAUUUUUUGUGUCACUAGUUGCAUUAAAUGUUAGGCUGUUUUAAAUGUUGUUCGGCUUUGGAAUCCAUUUAGUGUAAGAGAGGCUGAAAAUCACUCUCCAAAACCUAUCCUUUUCCGAAACUCAAAUGAGGUGCGAGAUGUGCUAUCACAAUAAAAGACAAAAAAAUAAUUUUAUAAAUUAUCGAGUUUGCCUCAAUCUGGAUUUUCAUCUCCGCGAGAUAUGUAGGUAGCCCUCCACGGGUUCGGUGAUCCUAAAAAAUGAAGGUUGUAUUUUCUUAAGAAAAGAAAAAGAAAAGUUUUGAUCCUUAUAAAAAAAAUCAAUCAAUUUUUUUUCAAAAAUUAAAAAAAAUUAUUAAUAAAUUCAAUAAAAUCAUAUUCUUUUCAAAUAAAAAAUGGAUUUCUUCAUGCCUCCUGCUUCCUGAACUACGUUUGACCUGAUUCUUGUUUCAACAAGAUACGUAGGCAACUCUUCUUUUGAGUUCAGUCUCAUCUAAAAAAUAAAUCUUGACCUAAUAAUUGGUACCAACAUACAUAAAAAUAUGAAUUGAAAAAAAAAUUAAGUGUAUUAUGAGAUACGAUAGAGUGGACCAACUUGAUUGUGAACUACAGAUUCUUUUGAUGCCUCUAAUUAUACUAAAGUUCACUUACAAAAUUUUCUUGUUCUAAGUCAAGUUUAAAAUAAAUCUUACCUCACUGUUUCAUGUGCAUUGAGUGGUGAACUUUAGAUUGAAAAUUCAAAGGCAUAGCUCUGUUGAUCUAGAACUUGCCUUGAAUGUCUGUUGAGGCGAAAUUUUGAGAUACACUUGGUUUGGAAAAGGAUCGUAGGCCUUCUUUGAUUCGAUUUUGCAUUCCACGACCCACCAAAUGAAAUUAAUCCCUAGCACUUCUCCCUUUGAGCCUAAAAUAUUUUCUUUGGAUAACCAUAUCUGAGUCUAUACCUUUCGAGUGCUUAUAUGCAUUAUCCCUCUUUUGGUCUACUACAUUGAGCGCACUAAAUAAGUACAAGUUGUAAAUGAAGAUUCAAGAUCAAAGGCGCAAGAGAAAAAGAACAUAUAGCUCGGGAGAACAAAAACAAAAGGUGACUUCAAAGAAGAAAGAGCAAAACCCCAUAAAAAAAAAAGAUGAAAAAAAAAAACUCCAACAAAGAUGGAGAAUCCUCAUAAUCAUAAAAAAAAAAAGAUUAAGAAAAUACAUUUAUCAAAAAUAAAUGGGAAAAACCUCUAGCACAAGGUUCAAAUAAAGUCAAAACAAAUACAAAACAAGGGGCAAAGAAGCACAACAAAGAAGAUCGAGCAUUAAACCGCAACAAAUAGAAAAAACACGAAAACAGUGUUGUGCUCAUUGAGAAAUUAGUCACUUAACUCCCAAAUAUCAUCCUACCUGUCCCUAAGCCUACAAUAUAAACCAAUGACAAGUCCUACAUGAUUCCAUUUUGAGUGUUCUCACAUUAGUGGAUACUUACAUGAUUGUCAAGAUUAUGGUAUCUCAUUGAUGCGUUGAAUAUCUUUCUGAGUGUGAGCGAUUCUUGAAUGUCCUCAAAUCUGAACUCUUUUAUUAUGAGUAAAUUAGAACUUUAGUUAUGGUAUGGGCACUUGAAACUGAGGAUAAGAAAGAUUUUAAACACUAGAUUGAGGAAAGAUAAAAAGAUCUUGUCGAAAAUUAAGUUUAUUCGAGGUACCAUUUGAAACUAUAGAGAUCACUACUAAGUUGAUCUUGAUUUUUGCUCAAAAGUAAUUAGAGAUAAUUCGACCAUAAUGCUAAUUGUUGGUACCAAUGAAAGUCAAGAAAUGAAUUAAUUUCAUUCAUUCAUUCUCUAGAUAUUUACAAAGCACAUACUUUUUUAAAAAAAUAUUAUGUUCUUAUGAACUACGUUAGACCUGAUUCUUGCUACGCAAGAUACGAUGGCAAUCCUACAAUAGGGUUCGGUCUCGCUGAAUAAAUUUUUUUUACAUCCCUAAAAGGUAUAAUACUGGGGCAUUUUUUUCUAUUAAAAAAAAAUCAAAAAGAAUUUCAAAGUUCCUCGAAUCCAAAACUAGGGCAUAUUUUUUUUAUAAAAAAUAAAAAAUCUCACUUACCUCAACACGUAAAACAUCUCUUGAGUACUCUUAGGGAACAAAACUCCCUAAUUCUCUUCGUCCUCAAAGGGUACCAUCCCCUAGUUGACAUCUUAUUCGUCUUCAUAGGACGCCAUCCCCUAGUUAACAUCUUAUUUCGUCUUCAUAGGGCGUCAUGCCCUAGUUGAUAUCUUGUUUAUCUUCAUAGGGCGUCAUUCCCUAGUUGACAUUUUAUCUCGUCUUCAUAGGGCUCCAUUCCCUAAUUGACAUCUUAUCUCGUCUUCAAAGGGCGUUAUCCCUUAGUUGACAUCUUAUUCAUCUUCAUAGGGCGUCAUCCCCUAGUUGACAUCUUAUCUCGUCUUCAUAGGGUGUCAUACCCUAGUUGACAUCUUAUUCAUCUUCAUAGGACGGCAUCCCUUAGUUGACAUCUUAUUCGUCUUCAUAGGGCUCCAUCCCCUAGUUGACAUCUUAUUUUAUUUUCAUAGGGCAUCAUUCCUUAAUUGACAUCUUAUUUGUCUUCAUAAGGCGUCAUCCCCUAGUUGACAUCUUAUUCUUCUUCAUAGGGCGUCAUCCCUAGUUGACAUCUUAUUCUUCUUCAUAGGGCGCCAUCCCCUAGUUGACAUCUUAUCUCGUCUUCAUAGGGCGCCAUCCCCUAGUUGACAUCUUAUUCGUCUUUAUAGGGCACCAUCCCCUAGUUGACAUCUUAUUUGUCUUCAUAGGGCGUAAUCCCCUAGUGGACAUCUUAUUUCGUCUUCAUAGGGCGUUAUCCUCUAGUGGACAUCUUAUUUCGUCUUCAUAGGGUGUCAUCCCCUAGUUGACAUCUUCUUUCAUUUUCAUAGGGAGUCAUACCCUAGUUGACAUCUUAUUCGUCUUUAUAGGACGACAUCCCCUAUUUGACAUCUUAGGAAACACCAUUUCCUAAUUUUUCUUAUUCGUCUUCAUAGGGUGCAAUCCCCUAGUUGACAUCUUAUUCGUCUUCAUAGGGCGACAUCCCCUAGUAGACAUCUUAUCUAGUCUUCAUAGGGUGUCAUCCCCUAGUUGACAUCUUAUUCGUCUUCAUAGGGGGCCAUCUCCUAGUUGACAUCUUAUUCAUCUUCAUAGGGCGACAUCCCCUAGUUGACAUCUUAUCUCGUCUUCAUAGGACGUCAUCCCCUAAUUGACAUCUUAUCUCAUCUUCAUAGGGCGUCAUCCCCUAGUUGACAUCUUAUCUCGUCUUUAUAGGGCGCAAUCCCCUAGUUUACAUCUUAUUUGUCUCCAUAGGGCGUCAUCCCCUAGUUGACAUCUUAUUCGUCUUCAUAGUGUGCCAUCCCCUAGUUGACAUCUUAUUUCAUCUUCAUAGGGCGUCAUCCCCUAGUUCACAUCUUAUCUCAUUUUCAUAUGGCGCCAUCCCCUAGUUGACAUCUUAUUCGUCUUCAUAGGGCGCCAUUCCCUAGUUGAAAUCUUAUCUCGUCUUCAUAGGGCGUCAUCCCCUAGUUCAUAUCUUAUCUCGUCUUCAUAGGGCGUCAUCCCCUAGUUGACAUCUUAUCACGUCUUCAUAGGGCGACAUCCCCUAGUUGACAUCUUAUCUCGUCUUNNNNNNNNNNNNNNNNNNNNNNNNNNNNNNNNNNNNNNNNNNNNNNNNNNNNNNNNNNNNNNNNNNNNNNNNNNNNNNNNNNNNNNNNNNNNNNNNNNNNNNNNNNNNNNNNNNNNNNNNNNNNNNNNNNNNNNNNNNNNNNNNNNNNNNNNNNNNNNNNNNNNNNNNNNNNNNNNNNNNNNNNNNNNNNNNNNNNNNNNNNNNNNNNNNNNNNNNNNNNNNNNNNNNNNNNNNNNNNNNNNNNNNNNNNNNNNNNNNNNNNNNNNNNNNNNNNNNNNNNNNNNNNNNNNNNNNNNNNNNNNNNNNNNNNNNNNNNNNNNNNNNNNNNNNNNNNNNNNNNNNNNNNNNNNNNNNNNNNNUUCGUCUUUAUAGGGCGCCAUCCCCUAGUUAACAUCUUAUUUUGUCUUCAUAGGACGCCAUCCCCUAGUUGACAUCUUAUUCGUCUUCAUAGGGCGUUAUCCCCUAGUUGACAUCUUAUCUCUUCUUCAUAGGGCGUCAUCCCCUAGUUUACAUUCUAUUCGUCUUCAUAGGGUGCCAUCCCCUAGUUGACAUCUUAUUCCGUCUUCAUUGGGCGACAUCCCCUAGUUUACAUCUUAUUCUUCUUCAUAGGGCGCCAUCUCCUAUUUUAUAUUUUAUCUCGUCUUCAUAGGGCGUCAUCCCCUAGUUGACAUCUUAUCUCGUCUUCAUAGAGCACCAUCACCUAGUUGACAUCUUAUUCGUCUUCAUAGGGCGCCAUCCCCUAGUUGACAUCUUAUCUCGUCUUCAUAGGGCGCCAUCCCCUAGUUGACAUCUUAUUCCUCUUCAUAGGGCGCCAUCCCCUAGUUAACAUCUUAUUUCAUCUCCAUAGGGAACCAUUUCCAAGUUGACAUCUUAUUCGUCUUCAUAGGGCGUCAUCCCCUAGUUGGGUAGAUUUUAAACCUAUUAGGUGUUUAUUUAGACUAGAAAAAUGGGGACGACUCAUAAAUAUGCCUCAAAGGCACGAGAAACGUAUCAAAACUUGUGGUAUGACCGAAAAGUUCUGCUACUGGCAAGCCACGCAUUAAUAUAAUUAAAUAAUUUAAAAUAAAUUCAAAGUAGGAUGCAAGUAACUUUUAGGCUAACAAAUGUUUUAUAUAGCUAAAAGAUUAAUUUAAGCCAGACGUAAGUCAUUAAAGAGACAGUGCUAGAACCACGGGACUCGAGGGGUGCCUCACACUUUUCCCUCGGUCAAUAAAAUUUCUUAUACGGAUUUCUAGUUUGCAGACCAAAAAUAAAGAGUCAUUUCCUUUUGAAUAGAGAUUCAAUAAGGUGACUUGGAACACUCAAACUCAAUUUCAAGUGGUGACUCUGUAAAUAAAAUAAUCCCUAUUCAAAACGUCACUUUAUUUGAAAAAAAUCAUUUUUCUCUAAAACCAACUCCUUAGCGGGGUUGGGACGGUAAAAAAUAGGGGUAUGACAUCAACCACAUUAUCACAACUAAAUUCAGACAUAACAAACUUUCUGAAACUCUAUCCUUUUAUAUAUGUUGAGAUAUUUGAAAAGAACUUAAAGAAAAUUAAAAAAAAAUUAUAGAGAAAGGUUACCUGCAAUUGGAAGAGAAGACGAAGAGAAUCAAAAGUGACAAGAAAAUAAGUCGGUGUUUGUAAGAGAAGAGGAAGAGAACCAAAGGAUUAUAAAUAAGUGCUUCUAGAAAUGUUAGCGUGAUAUGACUGACAUGCCCUUGGUCGUCCUUCUAGUGACCUUUCUAUAUAACAUAAACUAGAUAUUGAAAGCCCGUGCUAGCACGGGCCCAAUAUAUGUUAUUUUUUAAUUUCAAUUUAUGUGACACAAAUAGAAUUUAAGUAAUCAAUCCUUAAAAUAAUUUAAGUUUUUAAUUAUUGUGAUUUAUAAUAAUUUUUCUUCUAUUAAAAUUUAAGUGGCACUAAUGUAAUUUUGAGAGUCAACCAAAUAUUUUAUAUCUUUUAAACUUUUUAAGUUGUUAAUUAUGCGAUUUGUAAAUUUUUACAUAAUUUUUCAAUAAGAUAUGAAUAUUCUCUCCGUCUCAAUUUAUGUGGCACAUAUAAAAUUUCGACAAUCAAUUAACCUUUUUUAUAUUUUUUAUUAAGUUCUUAUUUAUUGUGAUUUGCAAUAUUUUUUAUCUCAUUUUUAAAUAAUAUAUGUUACUUUUCAGCUGUCCCCUCCAAAUUUAUGUGCAUUAAUAUAAUUUCGAUAGUCAAUCAAAUUUUUUAUGUUGACAUAACAUUUUGUAUCUAUUUUAUCUUUUUUGUGAAAUACUAUUAAUUUUUUAAUACUUAGAUGACCAUAAUAAUUAAUUAUAAGUGAUAUUGUGAAAUUACGAUUGGAGUAGCUGAAACAGACAUGUCAUAAAUAUCUAUUUUACCUUUUUUAUUAAAUAUUAUUAAUUUUUGAAUACAUAAAUAAGUUAUAAUAAUUAAUUAGGGGUGAUACAGUAAAAUUAUGGCUGAAGCAGCCAUGUCGACCUCAUGCCUGCUUGAGCUGCUUAACUCCCUCUUAUUAUUUUUUUAUGAAAUAUUAUUAAUAUUUUAACGCAUAGAUGACCAUAAUAAUUAAUUAGGAGUGAUAUAGUAAAAUUACAAUUGAAGUAGCUGAAGUAGACAUGUCAUAAAUGUCUAUUUUAUUUCUUAUUAAAUAUUAUGAAUUUUUUAAUACGUAAAUGAAUUAUAAUAAUUAAUUAUGGGUGAUACAGUAAAAUUACGACUGAAACAACUGAAGCAGGCAGCACAAGCAAGCAUGUCGACCUCGUGCCUGCUUAAGCUGCUUAACUCCCUCUUAUAAAUUAGAGAAUACUGAGCUUUAUUUUUGAAUAUCGUAGUUCCAAUUUCUACUUGUGAACAUAAAAUAUUAACUUUUCAGAUAGUAACGUAUAAUGGCUUACGAAUUAUUACAUAAUUCAGUUCAAUUUAACAAAUAGAUUAACUUUAAAUCCUAACAAAUUUAUUCCAUUAUAUGAUCGUAAAAAGCAAAUUAAACGUUUGAUCACAAAUGUUUUACAUCAUAAAAGUGAAGGGUCCAAUAAUUAGUGCCAACAUUACUUUAAAAAUAUUUUUUAAUUAAAUUAUUUAAUUACAAUACUUUAUUUAUGUUAAGAGUUUUGGUUGCAUGUAGGGGUAGACGUUUGGUAUUUGAUUCGGUAGUUUGGAUUUGUGUCACGUCCCAAAAUAAUGACGACGAACAAGAACCGUAUACACUUACUUUACCAACACUAAGUGACAUACGCAAGAUUAUGAGACAAUAAUGAGCACAGUACCCAACAUAAGAUAUAUACAUACACGAGGGGGUUGUAUUAACAAGACUGUACAAUACAAUGCUACAUAAUGUCCAUGAAGCCUCUAGACAAUUUAACACGCUAUACCACAAGUGACUAGUUGGCAUAGGGCCCGUCAUGCCCAACUAGGGACCUGUACAUGUAAUCAAAAUACUAUGCAUACACCAGCUUUAGGGAGAGAUAGAGCUCACCAAACUAUCAGCUGAAAAUGGCAAUAGGGUCUGACGUGGACGUCUGCUAUCCUAAGGAUCUGAGCCUGUAUCGAUAAACAUGGUACCCCAAGAACGUCAGUACAUAAACAACAUGUACUGAUAUGAAAGCAGAUAGAAUAACAGCUGGACAAGUGCGGAAACUCAUAUGAGUCAAAUAUCAAAGUGAAAAACAUAUAAGAAAAAAGGAACACAUAUACGACAUGAAAUUGUAACCUAUGUAGCAAUCUUAUUAGCAUCUUAUCUAAUAUUUGGAAAAACGUUCAUUAUGAUAUAGGGCCUAUAGUUUGCCUAGGUGAUGUAUUUAUCCUGUAAGUCGUACAAAUGAUCACAAGAUGGCCUACCGAAGGCAAUUUAAGGCAAGUAUCAAGCAUAUGUUGCUCACUUAUUCAUUGUUAUGGUCCCAUAUGCAUAAGUGUAAUUACAUACUGUAUCCAGGUACGCCCCGCCUAGGGACUCACUAUGAGGGUCUGCCCACAGGUCAUAUAUGCCAUAUAUUGGCUCGAGUCAGGGGAAAUCAAUACAUAACGUUCCAGCUGACUCCAAAUACAAAUGAUGUCACAAGGGCAGGUACGUCCAAUGAUUGGGCUCACUAUAGUAGUUUGAUCUCGACCCUGUGCACAGGAUCAUGUCAGCGAUAUGUCAAGCCAAACCUAUGUAACCUCCCAUCAUUAAAUGUUUAUCAAAUAGUUCCUUGAAGGCUUAUAACAUAUGAAUUGCUAAAAUGAUCGCUUAGCUAAUAUAUACAAGUGCAGCUAUGCUAUUACCAUUUACUCUUACUCUUAAUGUGUGAUAUAUCUAAAUUGUGGCCUAAGGGCUUCAAGUAGAGAAACUUAUGAUAAAAUGGAAGUAUCAUGGAAACUUAACACAAAGAGAAAAAGAUAGAUACUUAUAAGCUUGACGGUAAAAUGAAGGAAUGAUAUGUAAGGCAAUAUAAAGAUUCUACUCUCGUAUUUCAUGAGAAUUGUCACACCCCUUUUCUCCCGAGGGAUUGAAUCAAAGGAUUUUUCCAAUUAAAGUGACGAUAUUGAAUAGAUAUUAUUUUAUUUAUAGAGUCGCCACUUGAAACUGAGUUAUGGUGUUCCAAGUCACCUUUUUUAAUUCCUAAUCAAAAGGAAAUGACUCUUUGUUAUGGUCUGCGAAAACAGAAGACUAGGUAAGGAAUUUUGUUGAUCAAGGAGAAGGUGUGAGGCACCCUUCGAGUCCCGUGGUUCUAGUACGGUCGCUUUUAUUAUCUUAUCUUGACUUAAAAUAUUUUGAUAAUUAUGUUGGGGCCUAGGUUCGCUCAUUUUUAAUAUGUAAAAUUUGUCUAUAACUCUUGUAUUAAACUAGUGAAAAUUAAUUUUAAGACUAUCUUUGCCGAGGUGUAAUAUUGCAUUCUCAAAUUAUUUUUAAACAUCUCAAAAAGAUGCAUAUGCCUCAUUCUUAAUCGAGACAAAAUUUAUUAAAUGUGAAAGCUUAUCUAGCAUUAAAAAAAAGCAGUUGCUUCAUUUCUUGAAAAUUUGAGAUCAUUUUAUCUUAUUCAUUUUAUUCUUUUUCACUCUUUAUUUUACAACGAGUUUUGAAAUUAAUCCACAAUUCGUCUCUCUUCCUUACGAAAAUGGAUCUAUUGUCAAAUAUUAUGGGCCCUGAAUUAAAAUUUAAAAUCCUGAUUCAUUCAAUUUGCUCUGGCCAACUACUAACCAAACCGAGAGCCAACUCAUUUCCGAUCACAACUAAAAUCUUAGCAAAUGAUAAAUGUAAAUACAUCCAAUCAAUUGAAACCAAAUGUUCAAAUACUACAAUUAGAACAACAGACCAAACAUAGACGAAACAACAAAAUUAAAUUACUAUACUUGACCUAACUUAUUUGAAACAAUAAUGGUUAUUUAAAUUAAUAACUUAAACCUCAAGAUUCAAUAGCACAAAAAAAAAAUUUUUUUUUUUAAAAAAAAAAAAAAAAAAAUUUUAAAAAAAAAAAGCACCAAAAAAAAAAAAAAAAAAAAACAAGAGAAUGAAUAAACCAUUUUUCUUUCGUCAUUUUCUCUACUUUUUUUUUUUUAAAAAUAUUUUUAUCUGUUUGCAUACAUAUAGGUUACAUAUAUACAACUAACAAAAAACGUUAAAUGUUUACUACAAAAAUCACAUGAGUGGUAGAUGAUUUUCUGUAUAUAUAUUUUUUCUAAUAUGUAAAUGGACAAUUUAAACAAUCUAUGUUUAAUGUACAAUGAAAGGUUCAAAUAAACUAUCGGACUAUAUAUAAUAACUCUUCUGUUAACAAAGUGGGUUAUUUAUAUUCACGUUGUUAUAUGAAUAAUGUCUUAAAAAUAGCCAUUCUUGAAGUCAAAAUAAUAUUUUUUGUAGGAACAUUUAGUGUGUAGUAAAAAUGUGUGCAGGUGUGUGCAUUUUUUUAAUGUUUUGUAUGCAUGCAUAUGUCACAUAAUAAGAUUUAUCAUAAAUACUUUUUAAUUAUACAUAAACUAAAUGUGACUUUACAAUUUUUCAACAUUAUUAACUUUUAAAAAAAAAAUAUGUCAUUCAAAAUUCAAAAAAAAAAAAAAAAAAAAACUAACCAACAAAAUUUCAAGUCAAUAAAUGAAUCAUAAAUAAAGACGUAAAGUGCAAACUAUUUAAAAAUAACAAACUACACACACUAAAUAAUAUGACAAGUCGUUGGAACAACUUCAUUCAUGCUUUAAUUCCAAAAAUAUGGUACAAGGAUUGAAUAAGAAUCUGUAUGACGAAUUAAACCAAACGAGAAAGCUUUUACGUCAAACUAAAAAUCGAACGAAAAUCUAAACUCAAUCUUUCAACCCAAGAAUAUAUAAACUCCUUUCCGUUUUUUCUCUUUUGCCUUUUUCUCUCAAUUUUCUCACUUUUUCUCUUAUCCUUCUUUUAUUUUCAUUUUUGUUGUUUCUGUUUCCUUUUUCUUUUUGGUUUAUGUCUGUGUUUCUCCCCUUUUUUUUCUCUUCUGUGUCUUUGUUGUGUGUAUUGUUAUAUAGAGAUGUAGGAAGAGAAAAGUUGAGGGAGUUGGAGGGAAAAGUGGGGAUGGUUGGGGUAGUUUAGGAUAAGAUAGAAUUUUUAAAUUUUAAUUUUUUUUUAAAAGAAGACAAUGAUAAUAACAAAUAAAAUAAUAAAUAAAUAAAUAAAAUAACAAUAAUAAUAAAAAUAAUAUAAUAAUAACUAAUUAAUUUUAAUAUUUAAAAAAAUACAAUAAAAGUUUAAAAAUAGUUAAAAUAAAUAUAAUUAAGAUAGUACUAAAACUACUAACUUAUUUGUUUAAAAUUAAUUUUUUUUUAAUCUUUCUAUUAUUUUUUUUAAAUAGAAUAAAAUAAAACAAAACAUCUCAAAAUCAACUUUAUUUUUUAACUAAAAAUUUAUUAAAAUAAAAUAAGAAUUUAAAUAAUAUUAGACCAAAUAUAAAUAUUUAAUAUCGAAAAAAUAUAUAUUAAACUUGAGGAGGGUCAAAAAUCACGUGUCUAUAUUUAUCCCUUUUUAUUUGAAAUCUCAAAAAGUUUUCAUAUAAAGAAGUAGACAAGAUAUGAUUUUUGACCCUCUAAUGAUUUGAAAGUUAAGGAUAAAACUAAAAAUAAAUAAAAAAUGUGAUCGAGUCCUUGUUUUGGACCUCCUACCUAUCCCGGGCUAUAAGGAAAUUAGGUCACGAGUAAUUCAAAAGUAACAUGGCGAGAGAAUGAGUUAGAUAUCGAGUGAGAUUCCUUUUGAGUUUUUAGUUAACAACUUCUGCCUUUUACAUCAAAUGACUAACAAAAAAUGAAAAUGAAAAAUACAAGUGAAAAUUACAAUAUCUAGAAUCUUGAUUCUAAUCUUCAUGACUUGAACUUGAAAAUUUACUCGAUUCUUUAGGCUGGAUCCUGGCUUGCUUUUUCUUCGUCCUGUUAUUUAGGCAGACUCCUGAACUUGAUUUUCUUCACCCUGUUCUUUAGGCGGGCUCCUGGACUUCUUUUUUCUUCAUCCUGUUCUUUAAGCGGGCUCCUGGACUUACAAUUUCUUCACCCUGUUCUUCAGGCGAGCUCUUGGACUUACAAUUUCUUCACCCUGUUCUUUAGACGGGCUCCUGGACUUUCUUUUUUCUUCACCCUGUUCUUCAGGCGGGCUCCUGGACUUCUUUUUUCUUCACCCUAUUCUUCAGGCGGGUUCCUGGACUUUCUUUUUUCUUCACCCUAUUCUUCUGGAGGGUUCCUGGACUUCCUUUUUUCUUCACCCUGUUCUUCAGGCGGGUUCCUGAACUUACAAUUUCUUAUUUUUCAAAAUAUGUUCCUAAACUCAAAAUAAAAGGUCAAACAGAAAAAUAACAUCCCAUUCUUCAGGAGGGUCCUGAACAUAAAAUAAAUUCUCAUUCUUCAGGAGGGUCCUGAGCAGAAACUAAAAUUCAAUAAACACAAACAAAAUAUUUUUUUUGCCCCAAUUUGUACUAGAAAAUUUGUGAACAUCAUCAGGUUACAAUUUUUGAAAAGUACUGAAAGAGAGNNNNNNNNNNNNNNNNNNNNNNNNNNNNNNNNNNNNNNNNNNNNNNNNNNNNNNNNNNNNNNNNNNNNNNNNNNNNNNNNNNNNNNNNNNNNNNNNNNNNNNNNNNNNNNNNNNNNNNNNNNNNNNNNNNNNNNNNNNNNNNNNNNNNNNNNNNNNNNNNNNNNNNNNNNNNNNNNNNNNNNNNNNNNNNNNNNNNNNNNNNNNNNNNNNNNNNNNNNNNNNNNNNNNNNNAAAAUGACUCGACUAGAAAGUGCGUCUUCUAGGAGUGAUGGUUCAAGUUAGGAAGUGCUUCACCUAACAAAUAAAAAUUGACUUAUUCAGACUAGGAAGUGCGUCUCCUAGGGGUUAAAUGAAAUAAUUCAACUAAAAAGUGCAUCUUUUAGGAGUGAUGGUUCAAGUUAGACAGUGCAUCACCUAACAAAUAAAACUUGAAUUAUCCAGACUAGGAAGUGCGUCUCCUAGGGGUUGAAUGAAAUAAUUCAACUAGAAAGUGCGUCUUCUAGGAGUGAUAGGUCAAGUUAGGAAGUACAACACCUAACAAAUGAAACUUGAAUUAUCCAGACUAGGAAGUGCGUCUCCUAGGGGUUGAAUGGAAUGACUCUACUAGAAAGUGCGUCUUCUAGAAGUGAUAGUUCAAGUUAAGAAGUGCUUCACCUAACAAAUAAAAACUGACUUAUUCAGACUAGGAAGUGCGUCUCCUAACACAUGAAAACUGACAUACCCUGACUAGGAAGUACGUCUCCUAGGAAUUAAAUGAAAUGGCUCGACUAGAAAGUGUGUCUUCUAGGAGUGAAGGUUCAAGUUAGGAAGUGUGUUACCUAACACAUUAAAACUAACAUACCCCGAUAGGUAGUGCGUCUCCUAGGGGUUGAAUAAAAUGACUCGACUAGAAAGUGCGUCUUCUAGGAGUGAUGGGAAUAAAAUGACUCGACUAGAAAGUGCGUCUUCUAGGAGUGAUGGUUCAAGUUAGGAAGUGCUUCACCUAACAACGAAACUUAAAUUAUCCAGACUAGGAAGUGCAUCUCCUAGGGUUGAAAGAUUAUUUUUUAUCAUAAUUUGAUUAUCAAACCUGUGCAGCAAUAUUGCUUCUUGCAUUUGUGGAAAUGAUGCAUUGCAACCCUUGAUAUUUAUGCUCUGUUUUCUGUUUCAUCAAAGGAAACUUGUGAGUUCAAAAACAUGGUGGUAGGUUUGUGGCUUUAGCUUCCGUGGCUAUUACUCUUGCCCUCGUCACAUUUAAUCUUGCUUCCAAUCAUUAGCAUUUGUCACCGACUUGCUGCAUUCUUGACCCAAACUCAGAUUAUUAGAAAUGACUCUAAAACAAAUACAGUAUCUUUGUUUUACCAUGCUCCUCAAAUAAACCCUUGAAACCUUGGUAUUUUCAUGAGUUCCCAAACUCGACUGUUGACAAAACUUUUCUGCAUGCCUUAUUUCGGCUCACAAUCAUGUCUCUUUCAUGUGUUGGAUUUUUGUCUUGCUUUGUGUAAUUAAAGAAGCCGAUAGCUAGUUUUGAAAUCUUUUCUCACUUGUUAUGACACGGACUCGACUUAGAGACACAAGAAAAAUGACAAUAAUUUUUAUUUGAUGAUAAAGAUACCAAAAAAUAAAAAAUAGAAAAAUAAAAAGAAAAGAAAAAAACAAUAGGGAUUUUUUUUUGAAACGACAGAAGAAAACUUUUUUGGGUGUGGUAGCCGAUUCCAGCAAUUAUGACAUGCAUUUUGAAUUAAACAACCUGAUCUACCCACACUUAUGACAUGCAUUUUGAAUUAAACAACCUGAUCUACCCACACUAAUCAUUACAACUCUUGUCCACUUAUUGAGUUUGAAAUGGAAUCAAUCUUGAAUAUGCUCCCUCUAGAUCACAAUCCUUCUUCGGCUAGUGACACCUCAAUGGGUUUUCGCCAAUGCCUAUCUCAUUUUAUUUCUUUUUCAGCUCACUUAUGGUGCCCAAAAGGGUUUUCACCUAUAAAACUCUCUCAUUUUUACUCAUUCAUUUUUUUAUCAUUCAUGUUAUUUUGAAAAAUAAUGUCCAACAUACGAAACACCAUGCACCCAUAACAUGUUUGGCCUUGACAUUCUCAAAGAUCGAUCUGAAGGUCUUUCUUUGGUUGUAACUUGGUUUUUGGAAAAGGUUAGAAGGAAAGGGAGGCAUGAGGCUCAAAAUUUACAUAAUAUUGGGUGAAACAACUUUUGGAAUCGACUCUUUUAAAGAAAUAAACUUUGCUCCAGUUUCAUUUCAUUCUAGGUAAUUUAAAUUUUAUUUUUAUUGGACCGAACCCCAGAGUAGGGCUGCCUACGUAUCUUGUCAUAGCAAGAAUCAGGUCAAACGUAGUUCAGAAAUCUUUUUUUUUUGUUGAUUUUUUUUUACUUUUCUCUUCUUUUUUUUAGAGGGAGAUUUUUUCCGACUUCAUUUUUUCUUGACACUUUUCUGACUCUAUUCUUUUUCUUGACACUCUUUUUUGAAUUUUUUUUUAGACUCUGUUAUAAAAGAAAUAAAAUAAAAGCUCAAAAGGGAUAACAAAGGAUGCAACAUUUGGAUAGUAGAAUGAAAUGCCUUCGUCAUAUCAAUCCUUAACAACGCAAGUACAUAAUAUGCAAUCUAGGAAUGGAACAUGAAGAUCAUACGCAUCUUUUCAAUAUUGACCGUGACUAAAUACAUGCACGUGUGUCACUUCUUUUAAACUUGUAAACCAUACAGGUUUACUUGUAUUGUACUUUCCUCACAACAGAUGCUUCUUCUGACAAUAGAAACUAUAUAUCCGCUGGUUGAUCUUAUUCAAAAAUGCUUGAUUUGAACCUUCUCAUUGAAGAUCAAAUCAUUUUUUAUUCACAAAGUGAUUGCCUCAAAACAUUCAAGUGAGGAUGUAACUAGGUCCCCAAAACAUCUCAACACUUUACUUAUUUUUCUUACAUUUGUUUUUCAACUCUAGGUUCUUGAUCGAAUGUUUCAGCAUUAGAUUGGGUUUUAAGAUCUGGCUGAAAAUUCAACAUACUUAUCAUAUUACCAAAAUCACCAUAGAAAGAGAUAUUUAAAGAAAAAAAUAAUAUAUAUUGAGAAAUAAAAAUAAAAGGGACACACAUUUUGUUGACAGAAAGAUAGAAGGGUUUGAACAAAAACGAUAAGAAAAUCAGACAUGAUAGGUCCUAAACUACAACCCUAAAAUAAUUCGAGUAACAGAAAAGAAAACAAAAUAAAUUACUAAACCUCUUCCUAGUAAGGAGACGGGUGACUUCUCAAUUGCUCAACCUGGCAACUUAGCCACUGAUUUGCAUAUCAACAUGACUAGAGCUUCCACCACGAUCAGACACAUUCCCUUCAACAAAUAAGUUCUGGGUCCCCAUACUUGACUCAUUGUUUCUCACAUAUCGUGCAGUACCACGUGUUGGCCAAGAAUUCUGUGGGGCGGUUGAGGUGCCAACGUUUUGCACCACAAUCAUUUUUUCUUGAAUCAUUUUCUCUAUUUCUCUUUUUAAAAUACGACAAUUUUCAGCACUGUGACCUUGCAUAUUAGAAUGAUAAGCACAUCGUACAAUAGGAUCAAAAUGUUUUGAAUGUGGAUCGGGAAUAUACCCAGGGAUGGGAGUAAUCAUGCCCCAUUGCUUCAAUGUCUGGAACAAACUGGUAUAGGACUCCCCAAUUGGCGUGAAAUUAUCCUUUGCCUUCCUCCUCAUUGCAAACUCUAACCUCGGAUUAAACUUGAAUUCAGAGGAUCCUUAAAUUUGUGAGUGUCGAGGACGAUGCCGACGGUCCGGGGCACGCCAUUGUGGAUAGAAAAAUGAAUGAGCAUACGACUGUGCAUUGUUCAAAGGAUAUUGAGGAAGUGGAAUGGAAUUUCUUGGAUUUUGGAGAAAGGAACCUUGUUGCAUGUGGUUGUAUGGAUCUAAUAUGUAAGCUCGGGAAUGAGGCUGACAAAAUUGGUGGGUUGAACCUCUCAAACUCUGCUUUGGCCCUGGUAUGACAAUAAAUGUGCUUUCCUUCUUCUUUCCUUUUUCAAUUUCCCUUGAUUGAUUGCAGUGUCGUCUCAAAUGCUUCACAGAAUCCUCAUGUCCAUCAUGUUCCUUAAAUUUCGAUAUCUCAAAGCUUUGGGUUCGAUUCGGUAAUUUGAUUUUUGAUAUUUUUUGCCCAGGUCUAAACUAUUAGAGGCAGCGGGGCAAUUAUUUUGAAUUUUAGAUUUAAAAAAGAAAGUUAUUGAGUAAUUAUUUUGAAUUGUACAUAUUAAUUGGCUUUUUAAAAAAUAAAAUAUAACUACAGAGUCUACGUCAAAGCUCCUGAAUCCCUCAAUUCGCAAUCGAAAUACAAGCUCCGCCCCUAUAUACACAAUUAGGGAUGUAAAUGAUACGAUUCCAACAAUUUAUCAUUUUAAAAAUUUAUACCAUACCAAUUUUUUGGUAACUUUACCGGGUGAAUAAAUAUAAGACUUUUCAAAACUGUCCAAUCGUCUCGGCUACUCUUUGUUAUCGGUAAUGUUAAUAAAUAUUUGAAUUUUUCUUUCUAAACAUCAUUUAUGAGUUGUCACACUGUUAUUAGAAAAACUAGUUUAACAACAUGUGUCUCGAACGUGUAAUUUUUAAUUAUUUAAAAUUAAACGAUUGUAUGUAUUGAAUUUUUUUUUUAUAAAGUGCAAAAAAUUCAAAUCACUUCUCAAAAAUCCUUCACACUAACAUAAUAAUAUAAAUACAACAUAUAUUUUAUUGUAAACACAUAUAUAUUUUACCAUUAGAAGUUUCAACUGGUUAAUGGACCAUCAUUUUUGUAUUUGUCAUGCAGUAUCUCUUUUUCUAGUUGCUAGAGACUAACAAAGAUGCAUCAAUUUGAACCAUAUUUGUAGUAUAAUUGUUUUUAUUUAUUUUUCUAUAUUUAAAAUCUUUUCUUAAAGUUAAAUCUUCAGAAAAUAUUUGAUUACUUACUUAAAACUUUUCAAAAUUUGGUACAUCUUAUAUUUUUCUUAUUCUAAUGCUUUCAUUUAUUUCUCUAUUUUUCAAAUCUUCUUAAAAUCAACUUGAUUUAGUAUUCUUAAACUAAUGAUAAAGGUAUUAGUUGUCAUUAAUUUUGAUGACUUCUAAUAAGAAAAGAUUUUAUUAUAAAUAUUUAAUUAAUUUUCAACUCUUAAAUAUUAAGAAAAUAGUAAAAAAACGAUUUUGUCUAAAGCAGAAACUUUUAAUGAAGGACAACAAGUUCAAACAAUAUUUAUAAGGCCCUUCACACUUUUAAGAUAGUAUAAAUUAAUUCGUAAUAUAAAAUAAUAACAAGCUUUAAUAUAAUGCAAACAAUCAGUUUUGGUGUCAGGAUUUUAAUUAAGUGGUUUUAAAAGUAAAUACAUAAAUCAAUCGAAGGAAAUUUAACACCUACAAUAUAUACGUUAAAAAAUAAUUUUAAUUAUAUAUAAAUAAUAUAAUUUUUUUUAUCUAAUGAGGUUCGAAUGAACUUCUUGACCUAAGGGUAGCUCCGCCUCUGCAAACCAUAUACAGAGGACUGGCCACAUUCCUUUACAUGACUUACCACGCCAACCACUAAAACAAUAAUAUGCUAAAUAAUAUAAGAAAUUUUUUCUUUUCUUUGAAAAAUUAUUCACUUUAGUGAAAAUUGGGGUGUUCAGUCAUGAGAAUUUCAAAUUCAAUUUUAAAUUCUAAAUUAUUUCACUUUACUUAUUUUCACUUUUUUCCAACUUCAAUUUCAACUUUAUUUAUUGUUAUAUAGAAACCCAAUUUUUUUAUUUUUAUAAAAGUACCUUAUUAAUUUCAAUUAACAACCGAAGUUAAAUACCUAACUAUCACAUUGCUCAUUUCUUCCUGUAAAAGACCUCAAAAUUGAAGACAACUUCAAUUUUUUUCUUCUUCCUCAAAUCCCCUCAUGAUACAACGACACUAUAAUCCAUCUAUUCUUGCGACUCUUUAUGCAACACCAACAAUAAAGACAACAUUAUUGUCUCCUCUUGCAUUUGAUUGUAUCUAGGGGUGGGCAUUCGGUAUUUGAUUUGAUAUAUUAAAUAAUUUGAUAACAAUAUUAAUAUCUUGUACCAAACUCAAUUCCGAAUACUGAAAUAUUAAAAUUUUACUCCCAAAUUUCAUAUUAAAUACCAAAUUACCGAAUAUCAAUUAUCAAAUUUUUUCGAUUCGAUUUACGAUAUUUUAUGCCCAGCCCUAAUUGUAUCUUAUAGGUAAAUUAAUUAAAUUGGAUGAUUUUGAUAGUUUUUAAAAGUUGUGGGUAUAAAAUUAUAUUUUAAAAAGUUUUUUCAAAAGUCUUAGAUUUUUUUUUCAAAAAGUCAUGGUCAAACACAACUCCAACUCCAACUCCAACUCCAACUCCAACUUCAACUUCAACUUCAAUUUUUUUUUUUAAUUUUCAUGACCAAACACCUAUUAAAAGUGUGGCAAAUUAAUUUCAUAAUAACCAAGUCACUGUAUGAAAUUUGCAUGGUUGUACAAUGACAAAUAUUUGCAUACUAGAUGAGAAAGUCCGCGCUAGAGCGGGCCCAAUAAUAGUGAUCUAGCUAUGGCUCCUAAGCGUCACUUUUUAUGUCACAAUCAAAACUAUAUCAUAGUUUUUUUGUUUAAAUCUAAUUUUGACAUAAAAGUUGAGAGUGUCAUUGCCACAAUUUAGACUUAAUAAAUUCUAACUAAAGAGCAUAUGUUGUUGUGUCACCAUUGGUCAUGUCAAGUCAUACGGGACUGUUAGAAGUUUCACCAGCACAACCUGAAAUAAUUUGAAAACAAUUGACUAUCAUAUGAUACAAAAAGAGAUUAAAAAAUGAUAAUUUUCUUUUCAAAUGAAAUACACAAAUGUUCAAGAAAAAACUACAACAUAGGGCAAAAAUCAAUCGAUACUUAACAAUGCUUGCAAUAUGCUAUAAUUUUCACCUUUAGCUGAUUUAUUGAAGAAAAUGUCAUUGAACCAAAGCACAAGCCAUAGUGGUAGUUCCUAGCAUUAACAGACACAGAUAACAUCCAUGUCCUCUCAAAAUAUGUGCAAGAAAGUGACUCUUACCCGAAAGUUCCACAUCUAAGUUUGCUUGUUGAUCUACAUUAGAGUUUGACUUUAAAAGAAGAGCAAGAGACAUGUCAAAUUUCUGCAAAGUCAUCAAGUAGAAGAUACAACAGUGAUAACUACGUACCCAACGUAGUCCUACAAAAUGAGAUUUGGGUAGGAUAGUGUACGUAAAGCUUAUUCCUAGCUCAAAGAUAGAGAGGUUGUUUCCGCUAGAUCCUCGACUAAAGAAAAAAUGUCCAAUCAAGAAGAAAAUAAUAGGUAAUAAUUCCAUUUUCGUUUAUAGAAAAACUACAAAUCGUCACAUAUAUAGUUUUUAUGCAAUGAUUACUGAACAUGCUAGUGAUAUAAAGUGAGACCACGACUUGAUAAGUUAAGUUGUGCAAAUAAAAGAAGAGAAAAGAUGUCAAAGAAUUACUCAAAGGACAUGAAUGAUGUGGAAAGAAAGGAAAUGUUCCUUCAGUUGUUUUGCCUACUCAAACACUAUGGCAAUAUUUUGAUUUUUAACCUUCCAUGGACCUUGGACCUGUGUGGCAAAUUACAACCUCAUUAAAGUAAAAUAUCAAAUGGACGAAAAAUGAAGAAAACAAAAAGCCAUAAAAUAAACUAAAAACAGAGGACAAUCACUAAGCAAAAGUUAACAAUAUAGAGCUUGGGGUCAAUAAUACUUUUGGAGAAUUUGAGCAAUAUAGAGCAAAAGAACAUCUCAUCAUAUCCUUACAACUUGUCAAUUUUCUUCUUUAAGAUGAAACGAGAUUUCCUAUGUUCGACUUUUUCUCUACUCUCUUUACCUUUCUGUAGUAUAAGGAAUCUACCUCUUCUAGACUUUUCCUAUUUUGCUAACUUAUUUCAGUCCAUUCUUCAUUAGUAUCAUCACCAAGCAUAAAAUCAUUACUAUUCUCGAAUAUUUGUUAAAAUUUUCCAUUUUCUCAAAAUCAUAUGUUUUCUGCACUUAAAUUGAACUUGAAUUGAUAGUAGUAUCUGACCUACCAAUGAAUACCUUUUUUCGAGAUUUAUCAAAGUUAUCAAACCUUUCUUCCUUCUUCUGUGACACGGUGGUUGACUUUGUUCGCAAGGAAAUUAUGAUUACAUUAUGGCACGGAGGUCAGAAGAACCUUAUGCCAUACUGAAAAAAUAAAAGGCAGAAGAGAUUCUUAAGGAAAUGGCACUACAACAACUAUAACAUACCCAGUGUAUUUCCGCAAAGUAGAGGUCUGAGGAGGGUAUUAUGAAAUGAAAUUAAUAAUUUCAAGAAAUAAUGAACAAACAAUCAUUUCUCAACAGUUGGAAAUUAGAUAGCUCACUACCAACUUACUGGAGCUUCUAGAUAAGCAAAAUACUCCACCAAUCUAGGUAAAUAUUAAAGAAAGAAAAAGGGUCAAAACAGGAGCGGCUCAAACACAUUGAUGGCCUAAGGAGAAAGUUGAAUGGGAGGCCUUAAACUCAAUAACAACAAAAGUUAUAUACGCUUUUAUCUAAAAUCUAUUUUUGUAGCCUUUUGACAUAUUAAAUUUUAACAAAUUAAAUAGUUUAAACACAAUGUGCACUAUCAAACAAAAAAAUAUCAAAUAUAAAAUAUAAAAAUUAGAAUGAUAUUAUCCGAUUUAAGAAAUACAAAGUCUUGAUCGAUGAUCCCAAAUAUCUUUUAGCCACUUCAAAAUGUGUUUUUCAAAUUUAAAACAUGAACUAUGUUCUCCUCGAAGUGAAAUUAUCAAUAAAGUAAAAAUAUUAUCAACAAUAUAUAGAUUUUAAUGUUAACUUUUUGAGUCUUUGAAUUUGAAAAAAGAAAAUAAAGAAGAAUAGAAGAAAGAGAGAGGAGUGAACCUAAGUAAGAGAGAAAAAUGUGAGAAAAGUGGAUAAAAAAAAGGUAAUUAAAAGAUCAAAAAGAAAGGAAACAUUUUUUAUGGGAAAAGUAAAAAGAGAUGUCAAUUGAAUAAUAAAUUACUUAUCCGUUGACCGUAACAAAAUCUCUUAUUUUAAAGUUUUUUUAGUUUUUUUUAUCUAAUCCUAAUUUUUUAGCGAUCCACCUACUUAAAAAGAAGUUUUUAUAGAUUUCUUUACACUACUAAUAUAAUAAAUGAUAGAAAAUGGAGCCCUCCAUAAGUGGAGACCUUAGGCAACUGCCUAAAUUUUUUUAACUGCCAGUCGACUCUGAGUCAAAAUACCUUUCUAUUUUCAUCUAUUAGCUACUAUAGGAUCAAAUAUACCUAAUCGCUCUUUUUAACACUUUUUCACCAUAACAAGGUGAGAGCCCACGUAAUUUGACAUUUAGGUGAGUUGGAAGCCACGUGGAUUCCGCCUAACCAACAUAUUCUUAAUCUAUUUCAAUUUUAUAUUUUUAUUCUUUUUUCUUUUCCUUUACUCUUUAUACAUUUACAAAAAUUCCUAAUACAAAAAUCAAUUCAAGCUUCUUCAAAAAUUGGUGCAGCUAAAAGUUCGUAUUAGAAUAUUUCAAUAACAUCACGGCUAAAUUGUGCCCUAAUACAAAAGAAGCAAAAUCAAUCAACAGCUAAAAAGAAUGCUUUGUGUUGCUCUCUUUGAAUUAGGGUUCUAUCUCGCAAACUCAAAAUCCAGUCUGUUCCUAAUGCUUUGGUUACUUUCAAACAUUAAAUAUUGGUAACUUUCAAAGUCUACAUCAAGUAUUGAUUUUAUUAGAAGUGACACCUUUUAUCUUAGUUCAUCUCCAAAACAGAAAUAGUAAAUACAAUCCAACUCUUGAACUAUUACGCUAAUAAAAUCAAAUCAUAAAACUACUCAAUAAUUGUAAAAAUCAACACAUAAAAAACGACAAUUAAAACAUCAGGCAAAAAUAAAAAUUAUACCUCUAUUAGUUCUACGGAAGUCAAAUCAGCUGAAGAAUCAAAUGAAGUUAGUUUUUGUUCUGCUUCUAGUAGUUUUACUCGCUUUUUGAACAUAAAAGUAAAAAUUUUGUUUAAACAAAAUCAAAGAUUAAGAAUGUUGUUACCUCAUUUGAUUUACUUUUCUUAGAUUUGCACUGCAAAAAGAGAGGUAGAAGCAGAGAAUUGACAAAAACUAUGUGCCUCUUUUGUGUUCGUAUCUCAAUUCUCAACCAACAAUACGUCGCGAUAGUAUAGAAGGACACAAUGAUUUCACUAAGAAGAGGCGGUGAAGCUGGUGAGAAGAGAAAGUGUUAACAAUUGGCAAAAGAAUACAAGAAGUUGUGUAAAAUCGACAAAAAAAAAUUCGUGAAAAGAUUUAUUUGUCCUUGGAAGCAGGCAUGACGACCCUGACCUACUUCCAAGGCUCUUCUAUAUAUUAGAGAUAUCGAUAAUUCUCACAUUGCUAAAUAAUAAUCUCAUUUUAUCAAUUUAUCAUGCACAAUAAUAGUACUUCGUCCAUUUCCUUUUAUAUGUUUCCUUUAUUUUUUGUGAGUCAAUUUGACUAAGUUUUAAAAUUAAAUUAAAUUGGUUUAAUUUAAUUUUUUAAAAUUAAAAUUUAGAUAUUCAAAAAUUAUGUGAAAAGUACUAUAAAUUAUAAUUUUUCUUUUUUCAAUUUAAAUAAUAAAUACAUCUUAAAAUACUAUCAAAAGUUAUAUCGUUUGACCACAAAAGAUAAUAUAUAUAUAUAUACUGCUUACAGUACAACAAAUGUGAUUUAUUAGUGAACAUGAUAUAGCUGCUUAUUGAUUUUGCCUAAAAUGCAUUUUUAUCAUAUGAAUUGUGAUAUAAAGAGUAGACAAUGCCCUUGCUAGUAGUUACGGGAGUACUCUUGUAGUUUCAUGUUAUUCGACUUCUAAUACUAUUUAUAGUGUUUUAUGUAGUUUAAUUGUAAUAUUAUUUUAAUGUAUUGUUCUAUGUGUAUUUGUUAUUUUCACUUAUUGUCUAUUAUCUCUUAUACUUUUAUUACUUUUUUGGGGGGUUUGUUUUUGUCUUAAGCCAAAGAUCUAACGGAAAUAGCCUAUUUACCUCACUUCUAAGGUAGAGAUAUGAUCUGCAUACAUUCUAUAUUUUCCAGACUCCACUUACAAGAAUUCACUGUAUAUAUUAUUGUUGAUAUGGAGAGUAGACAAUAUUACCGACAAAACCUAAUAGAGAAUCUAAACUUUUGAAGGAUGUUGAAACAAACUCAAUUUCCAACAUGAACACGUACGAAACAUUUAUAACCACUAAAUACAAAUUACAGCGUAGAAUCCAAACACGAAGGUAACAUUCACACUAACUAAGACGAGAUAAGAUAGUAAGAAGGGUAACAAGAAGGGAUGAGAUAAUAGACAUAAAAUGGAGAUAAGAGACAACAGAUCGAAACCUUGACAUAAUUUUUGCAUAAACCGUUUUAUCUAAUUCCAACUCCCAUUUAAUCAAUUGAUAAUUGGGCCUAAAUUCCAAAUAAAGCUUUCCCACAUUUUAGUCGACUCAAUAAUUCGAACUGAAUCAAUCUCAUUCACCCCUUCCGACCCAUUCUACAAAUUCGAUAUAAAUUAGUCACAAUAGAUUUUUUCCUAUAAAUUAGUCACACCAUUCUACAAAUUCAAUUUAAAUCGCCUACCUUCCCAUACUUGACUCCAAACUCAAAUAAGAACAAGCUCCUCAAGCCAAAAAGAAAGCAAAAUAUCAACAAGAGGGGCUAAAACAUGCUUCUAUACAAUAUGAAAUGGAAUUCUUUCAUCAGAAAAUGUCCCUCCUUUACUACUGCACAUAAUUAGUUUCAGAUACAUGUCCUUUAUGGUUAAUUGAAAAAAAUCCUGCAUCUUACAUGUGUUAAAAAAGGGUCAAAAUUACACAGGCGCGUAAAAUGAUAAAUUACUCCUCUCUGAAUGACUAAAAAGGGUCAUUUGCUCUUGAGAAUACGUGCAUUGAUGCGAACUCUUCUCAUAGUGUGUUUUGACUUCAUAUAACAAGUUACAUCAAUCAAAUACUUCAGAUUUUGGAUGAUAUAAUGAAUGACUUUCACAUCAAUUUUGCCUACAAAGUUUACUACUAUAUGUUUAAUAACUUGAUAUAAUCGAAAUAAACAAACAUACUCCUUCAAGAAGUUGCUAUCUUUUCAAACAGCGUCUUAAUUCAGCCACUUUGGUGUAUCAAUAACCCAGGCAUGUGUAACACAGUUCAGAGACACAAUGCUGCUUUCACUUCUCUUCUCCAUGCCUUUUAAAACCUAUUUUUGUACAUUAUUUUCUCUAUUCUUGCCCAACUUCCCUUGCUACACUGUGCUAUUUGUGCAUUGACUUUUGAAUCUCCUAAUAGAGUCAGACCUCUCUAUAACGUCACACAUUUCACUAUAGCAGUUUGAUUCUUUUCGGAAUCGAUUUUUCAUACUAUAUUUGUUGGGUACGAUGUAGUUUUGAUGAUUGACAAACUGACAAAGUGAUAUGAAACAUGUCAGUCAAGUUGGUUCACAGACGCACUAUCUCAUGUAGCUGAAACUUGUAGCAAAAUCAUCGAUGAUUAAAGACAAUGGUGGAAGAAAUCAAGAACCAGAUGAGUUGUUAAUUCUGAUAAACUCAAGAAAAUAAACAUGUGCUAAUUUGAAGAAGUUGAAUUUGAUUCAAACACUUGAUGAUAAGAAAAAGCAAGUUGAGUUGAAAAAGGAGUCCUAUAGAAAGAAGGAGUUUCACUUUUGAGCAUAUCCUGAAGAGUCCUAUGUAUAGAAAGAGAAAAAUUCUGCAGAUUGAAGAAGUCUGCGCAAGAUAGGAAAUAUACAAAUUGAAAGACUCUUUGUUAGAUCAAUGAAGUUUUUGAUGACUGACACAUGAAUAGACCAUGUUACUUGAGCUGGUCCAAGCAUAGGAAGACAGGUUACAGGUUUCACUUAUAGAUGCAAACAAAGAUUGCUUAAAGUCAGGAAUGAAUGAGCGAGCCUAAUUCUGAUAUACUAAAGUUACUUAUCACGUGAAAAAUUGAAAAAGUUGUGGUUGAAUAAAAUACUUGAAGAUAAGUUGAUUUAAAGAGUUGGAGUUUGACUACAAUACUAAGGAGACAAGAGUUAAAAUUGAAGAAGAAGUCUCACUUGAAGUAGAACUCUAUGCAAUGAGAGUUCUGAUUAAAGGAGGAGUUUGAAAUAAAGAAUGACUCUUUAGAGAGUUGUACUUAAAUAGAAGAUGUAUUAUUCAAAAUAACUACGCACUUACAGAGAGAGAAAAGGCUUAACACGAGCGAAUUGAGAAAGUUCAUAAUUGAGAGAAUUCUGACUGAAGAUUCGAGUGCUGCAGUACAAAGGAACAGAUUGACGAACCUAUUUCAUAGGACAGAACUUUACAGUUCAUGAGUCAGUUUAAAUGUAUUGUUCUUAUUGAGUUGUAAUUUAUUGCUUUCCUAAAUUGAUUGUUUAGGAACAAUACUGAGCUGAGUUAACUUCAAAUUUGGGAUAACUCGAAGUGGGUUCAACAGUCAAGGGUGAUUGUUGAGUUAUAAGAAUUAGAGUUUAUGAUUCCUAGUUGUUGAGCUAUAGGAAUUGGAGUUUGUGAUUCCUAGUUAUUGAGGUAUAGGAAUUAGAGUUUAUAAUUCCUAGUUGUUGGUUACAAGAGUUUUGUAAUCAGUCGUUGUUGAGGCUCAGAGUUAUUUAGUGAAGUUGGGGUUAAAUCCUGUAGAGGUAUAGAUCGUGAUUUUUUACACCUUUUUGAGCCAGGUGUUUUCCACGUAAAAAUCAUUGUGUUCUUUACUUCCUACUUUACUGCUUCUUUGGAACACGUCAGGUAACCCGUUUCAUCCAUAGGCAACUCUUACGUUAAAGUCACUGAUCAGUAGGGCACGUACUCUAACAAUAUUUUACUUCUUUAUAAUGACAUUCAACCUAUAAUACAAUGACUUUUAUUAUAUCACUUUGUAUAACCACCUCUCUAUAACAACACUCAAAUAGUAUGUAAUAAUAUUUUGUAAGAAAUAUAUUAUGCACAAAAUAAAAUAUCAAAAUAUUUAUAGUAAUCGUCAUUAAUGCCAUGCACAGUAAUAAUUUAAGUAUGAACAUAUAAAAGUGCACAUAGGUUUAUUUCAUAAUUUCAAAAGGAAAAAAUUAUUAAUGUUUGCCUUUUUUAUAUUCGUCUCUUACUAAUUUUGCUUACUUUUAUUUAUAACAUCUAAAUGAGAUUUGAACGGCAAAUGUCAGUAUACAUACUAGCAACACCUCUCUAUAGCAACGAUGAAAUUUUUAGACAAACAUUGUCACUAUAGAGAGGUUAGUUGUACUAUAAAACAAGAUAAAAUAGUUCGGUGGAUCCUUAUACUAUGUCCGUUUUAUAAUAUGAAAACUCUUACUUACGUGUUUGUCAUGUGGACCCUUAAACUCAUUAAAAAUAAUAUUUUAAACCCUUUGACCGUUGGCCAGACCUAUGUGGCAUUAAAAUGGUUGAGUAGGACGAAACGUGUGCAAACACUCGUGUAGGUUGCGAGUUAGGGGAUUUUUUGGUCAAUUUUAUAUUAAAAUAAUUAAAAUAAAAUAAAAAAAGUCCUUUUUUAAAUCUUCAAAACUUUGAACAAAUCAUUUUUUAUCUUAUCCCAAAAUUUUCUAUUUCCUUAUAUGUUUGCAGAUCCAAAUACUCCUAUUGUUCAUUACAAGAAUAUAUUCAUUUUUACUUCAUCAACAAACUUUUUUAACUACUUUUUAUUUGGAUAAUAAUUUUAGUCAUGAAAUCAAUCAAUUUGAUAACCAUGACGCCUUGUUGUCGAAUUUUAAUCCCACGUAGAAGCAAUUCUUUUCUAGGUCUUCCAUUUAAGAAGACGCAUCAUUCAUUUAGUACAAAUUCGCCGAAUUUUCGUUUGAAUUUUAGGCAAAAAUGUGAUUUUGACAGUUACCCAUCUCGUAUUUUGGGCCCUGGAAGGAUAAUCAAUCGGACCCAGAAGUUGUUUUGUGUUUUGGGAAAAUCAUCUUUGGGUCAAUUUAGGGUCUUCUCAAGCUAUUGUAAUGGGGGUGGCGACUGCUCAAAGAGAGGUUUCCAUGUAAUUGCUAGUGUUGCAUCUAGGAAUUAUUCAACUUCUAUUGAGAAAACGCGUGUUAAUGACAAGAAUUUCGAGCGGAUUUAUGUACAAGGAGGUUUGAAUAACGUGAAGAAGCCAUUGGUGGUGGAAAAGGAUGAUUUAGAUGAACAAUAUGCUGCUGCAACUGAGCAACAUUUGAAUGAAGAGAAAGCAACUGACCAACAAUAUGCUGGUGGUAGGUGACGGCAGCGUGCUUAUGCGUUGUUGUCACACCGAUAGCGGUGGUGCGGCGGUGGAGAUUGAGAAGAGAGAGUGGAGAGAUGGAGAAGAGAGUCCAUGGUUUCACCGGCCACUAUCAUUUUAAUUUUCUUUUAAAUUCAAUUUAAUUGUUUUUAUUUUUUAAAUAUUUAAUUUCUUAUGUGGAAUUUUAAAAAUGAUGUGGAAUUAAAUGUAGUAUUUAAAAUGAUAUGGAAGCUAACGUGGGGUGAGUGUGUUACACUCAUCAAAAAAGUGUUUAAAAUGUUGUUAUUUAGUGGAUUCAAAGAUUCAGAUGACAAACAUAUAAGUAUGAAUAUAUAAAUUAUAAAAUGAUUAUAGUAUAAGGGUUAUCGAGACAUUUUGCCUAAAAACAAUGACAAUUUCUUAGAUUGUAACACAAGAUUCAGUCAUCAAAUUAGUACAAAAAUUGUAAACGUAAUGACAUAUAAAUUUAAGAACAUCAAUCUGUGACACCUUGAUCUUUCAAUGACUUUGCCCCUAGAGUUGGAUUGCUUGCAAAAACUUUUGUAAAUAUGAAUGGUGCAGUUGGCAUAUGUUCUUUUAUACAAUUUUACCUAAUAAAAGAAGUAACAUAUCAAAUAUAUAUUAGAUAGUCAAGGCAGUAAAGUGAAUGAUUCAGAGUUGAGGGACAGUUGUGCAAAUUUUAUACUAAAAUAUUUGAGAUAUUCAUUUUCUAGGGGCUUUCACCAAUGUCCAUCUCUUAACAUUCAAGCUAAAUCUUAAUCAUUAUUUACAUCUGCCCACUCCAGCUUAAUGUUACCUGGUAUCCUUUUGGCCAUUAAUUAGGUAAGAGUGCAAAGAGGACUGAGCCUGAAUAUGCAACCGACAGUGGCCAAAACAUCCUUUAGUAAGAGGUGUAAAGCCUUAAAAGCACCACACUAGUAGACUAAAACUCAUCCACAAGACUAAUUACCUAAGAAUCUUGCAUAUGCUAUCACUGACAAACAAACAUCAAACAUGAAGAGAGCUGAGCUCUCACUAUAUAUGGGAUUGUAAUUACCAUGAGCUUAAUUUCCUUUAGAGGAGGUUAAUUUGUGAGUACUCCAUUAAUUAAUUUUUACCAAAUAGACUAGUGAAAUUGUAAAAUGGCCAUUAUGUUGUAUAGAUGGCACUUCCUUGCCACAAUUUCCAUUGCACCAAACUUUGACUUUUCAUAAAACUAUACACAAUCUCAACCUAGAAAAUACAUCAAUAGUUUUCCAUCAUUUCUUGCACUCAAUCACUUAAACCAAACAUAUCUUUCAUUAUUAUAAUUUACUUGUGCUAGUGAGCUUUCUCAAAUCUCAUCUAUAUAAACAGAUUACUCUAUACAAAGAGUCUCAACAACAAUUUCAAAACAAUCUAAAAUCUUUUACUUAACCAUGAAUUCGUCAAGCCAAGCAAAAACAAUAGUACCAUUAGUCAUGACAAUAAUUUUUAUGCUGCUAAUUAUUGCACCAGCUUCAGAAAGUGCUAUCACUUGUGGUACUGUGAUUAGCACAAUUAGGCCCUGCUUCAGCUACUUACAAGGUGUUGGUGGGAAACCACCACAAACUUGUUGUGCUGGUUGUAAGUCUCUUGCGUCAGCUACAUCAAGUGCAGCAGAUAGGCAGGCUGCAUGCACAUGUCUAAAGAAUGCAUCUCAAAAUGUCAAAAUUAAUGCUCAACUAGCACAAAGUCUUCCUAAGAAUUGUGGAAUCAGCUUAUCCUUCCCUAUUUCAAACACUGUUGAUUGCACCAAGUAAUAUUACUCUUCCCUAUUCUCCUCUUCUACCCCUAGCCCCCCAAACCUUAUAAAUGUGUUUGAUACGACGAUCGCCGUUUUUCAUACAUGAUAUUAGAAAAUCUUUUCCUGAAAUAUAAUAUUUUUCAAAAAUGAUUCUAGUAUUUGAUUGGUGAAUAAAAAAUAUUUUUGAAUAUAUCAACCCAAUUUUUAGAUAGGCUAAUUAACAAGCGAGUUAAAACAUGUUGAGUAAUAAGUUUGUGAGAACGUAACUCGUCUAGACUUAAAUGAGUUGCGAGAACUAUAAAUGAGUUGCGAGAAUUAUGUUUUUAUGGGCUUAUAUACAACUUCUGUCAUAUCAAACACUUUCGAAAAUGAAAUCAUUGAAAAAAGAAAACCAAGAAAAAAAGUUUAGAUAUGAAAGAUGAACUAGAAACAUUAAAGCACAUAUAUGGUAAGAUCAUGUCCAUGAAACAACAUAUUGGACCUCUAGUUACCAUCCUUGAUAAUUUUGUACGUUGCUACUUCUCUUGCUGCAGGAUCAAUUGAAGUGUUUUAAGGAUGCUAUAUAUAUGGAAAAUAUUUAUUUGGCUUGAGGAAGGCUAUACAGCAAAUAAUUUGUUGCAAUGCAUGUUAUAAGUGUGACAGAGUGUCUUUUUCUGAUUUAUUUUUGAAUAUAUCUAUAUGUACUUAUGUUCAAAGUUCCUGCACGGUUGUACUUCUGUUCUGCAUGUAAUAAAUUGUGUUUUCUCUGAGGAGAAAAUCCAAUAACUUAUCUUACAAUAUACUCUCUACUAAGUAAACGAGCUGAGCAUACGUUGUAUUAAAUAUUAAUCCAAUAUGUUAUGAGAAUUUAUUAAAGUUCCUGCUAUUCCUUUUUUUAAUCAGGCUUGUGUGUGAUUAUCGAUGUUUAUUAGUGGAUGAUUAGGGUCAAACUCACGUCUUGAACAUAAAUUAACCGUUGGAAGUAUUAAGGUUAAACUAAUUUAUUUUUUAUAUCAAUUUGAAUAUAGGAUUUUUAAGUUCACUUUUUAUAAGAUUUACAUAUUUAAAAACUACAUAAGAAAUAUUAUAGGUAAUAAUAUUAAUAAUUUAAAAUAUUAAAAAAAUUUGAAGAUAACCACGAGCAAAGAAAAUUUAUUUGAUUCUUUGAAUAAUAAUACUAUCAUACAUUUUCUUGGCAUGAUCAUCUGAUGAGUGCAUUUGGAGACACAGACAUAACUUUUUUUUUACAUACAUGUUAAAGGAAUCUUAAAUAAGAAUCAAGUGCAAGCAAAUAUUUUCCUUUUUACACACUCUAAAAACAAAUGUGAAUACCUUCAUAAAACUUUAAUUGGAAGGAUAAUAACAGAAAAUUUUAAUUAAUAUUUUUUUGAUUUAAUAAAAUACAUAACUAAUACGAGACAAUUAUUUUUAAUAGGAUGACUAACUAAUAUGUGACAGACAAAUUAUGAGCUAGCCGCAUAAAUUUCUUUCUGAUGAACUCGGAACUACAAACAAACUUUUAUUUUUUCUUUUGGGUCAUGAAAGAUGGUACAAACAAACUUGACGUCACCUUCCACACCCUGCACGUGAAAAUCCUACCUAAGGUACAAAGAAUGAAUUUCAUGUUAUUUUUAAUAUUAAAUUACAAUGGUUUUGUAUAAGUUUACAUGUAUUUCGAGUACUAUGUUACGGAGUAUUUGUUAUUUAACUCAUAUUGUUAUAAGUAUGUUUUAUUGUGAAUUCAAAUUUAUUAAAAUUUAUGAGUCAAUUUUCUAUAGCAACCUCGAUUUAAUUAAUAUGCAAUAAUCAUUUAGUCUAAAUGAAAUAUUUAUAGAUAAUUUUUUAACACACAAGUUUUGUGUAAGAGUAACUGGUCCGCCACGAGUAUGUUGUAGCUCCGCUCACCAAAUUUGUUGGCAAAAAGAAUCACUUAGCAUCGUUUUAGUUUUUACUUAUUCGAACCUUAUUCUAUAAUUUUCACCUUUUCUAUUGACACAUUAACUAAUAAUAUGCAUUAUUGUAGAGUAGCGUGGCAGCAGUGCCACUAAUAUUGUUUGGGAGUACAGUAACAAAAUUAGAGUGAUAAAAUAGGGUGGAAAUCGACUGACUGCUUAAGCCUUAAAAAAGUAGUUUCUACUUUGUCUCCGUCACGCAUUUCAUUCUCAUCUUCUCCGUUGCCUUAGCCAAUUUGAUCGUCAUCAUAUUUGUCUUCAUGUCCCCCCUAAAAAACUUCUAUAAACAACAAACCAUUUAGAAAUAAUUAAAUCAAACUCAAAAACCUCAAUAUCCUUACCAUCAAUUUUAAUAUUUGUCUUCAUGUCCCCCCUAAAAAACUUGUAUAAACAACAAACCAUUUAGAAAUAACUAAAUCAAACUCAAAAACCUCAAUAUCCUUACCAUCAAUUAUACUUACUUCACCAUGAAGCCUACAUAUCCUUUCCUUAUGGUAGUUCUACUACUACUCUUCUUGACUCUCCCAACUUACUCACAAACCGAAAACAUUAAGUGCAACAAUGUAGUAGGAGCCAUGAGACCAUGUGUGGUGUUCUUUAGGGGCGGAAGUGGGGUGACUGGGAUUCCUCCAUCCGCGUGUUGUGCUGGAGUUUCAACUCUUUCACAAAUCGCGAACAACACUGCUAAUACUGCGAUUGUUUGUAGAUGUGUUCAUUCAGUAUUCAAAAAUCUGAGAAUCACAGAUGCUACAGCUAAAGCACUUCCUCGCAGAUGUGGAGUCACCUUGCCCUUCUCUUUCUCUCCACAUGUCAAAUGUCCUGGUACGAGUUUAACUUCUAUACAUUCAUAGUAGAAAGAUAUUUACAACACUAGAUUAUUUAAAAAUUAUAAGGUAAUUGCAGGUAAACAUUAGAAAUUGAUACUAAUGUAAUAGAAAUGGCAGCUAUAUAUUUAUGUACGGUGACCUAUUAUACUACAGUUUAAAUUGUGCAAUUUAUUUUGGACAUUAUUAGUAUACAUAACUUAAUAAGUUUAAUUACCUUAUAGGUUGUGAUCACAAUAACACUAUAUAUGUCUAAAUAAGUAGUUUGAUACGUAACCAAACAGAGCCAACAGAGUUGAAUCAUUUUGUACUUUCUUCUUCUUCUUUUUUUUCGUGAACUUGGAAUAUUAAUAAUAAACUACAAGAAAAUUUAUGCUUACUUAUACUAAUUGCUCCUACAAUAUUUAUUAUUUGCUAUGAUGUCAUUUAAAUGUUUGUUUUUCGACAGGAUAAUUUGAUGAAGUAGUCCAGAGGACACAAAUAACAAAAAUGAAGGCUUGCUGGAAUCAAUAUGAGUUCUAUAGAUAUAUAUAUACUGCAUGAAUUUUGUGUUUUUUUCUUUAGUAAUUUCGUUUUCUUUUUUCCUGGUUCUUUAUGUUAUUUCCGAAUUGCAUGUACUCUUUCGUCUUGUGUUGGUGUGUUUGGAGUUGUAAACAGCAAUCUACACUGGUUUUAUUUUUGCUUCCCGUUCCUCGUUUUUUGCAGCAAAUUGUUAAUAUUACCGGUAAACAAACUGUAAAAAUUUUGAACAACAGUACUAGUGAACUACGCAAGGAGAAAAGUAACAAAAACACAAGGCUUGGGAAGCUAAUCUAUCAAACAAGACGAAGAAAGAAAAGAAAAACCUCACCAUGUCCUCAGGGAGAAAAUAGUGAUUAUUGUCAUGACUGCUGCCUUCAAUAAUGUAUACUCAACCAGAUGCUUAAGUUUGAGAUUGUGGCUAUCUUUAGAAGCAGAGGCGGAGCCAGAAUUUUAAGUAAGGGGUUCAAUAUUCAAAGAAAACUAAAUUGAAGGAGGUUCAACACCCACUAUAACCACAUAAAAAAUAAUUUUAAUCAUGUAUAAAUAGUAUAUUUUUCCAUUGAAAGGGGUUCGGACGAACCCCUUAAAAGAGGGAUGGCUCCGCCUCUGUAAUUAGAAGUGAUAAUCGUUAAACCAAGAAACAAAAUAGAACACACCAUGAUACCUACAGAACACUUUAUGAAUUGUGGAAUUAUGAUUUCUUAACUUAGAAAUAUUUGAAAGUGUGGAGCACCUAGUUAAGAUUAUAUUAAGGGAUAAAGACGUAAAUGGCCGCUCAGCUCAAAUAAAUCCCACGAAAAUGACCAUGGAAUUCAAAUUCUAAUUUUUAGCCAUUUCAAUUUACGGGCUUGCUCUAUAUAGUUUCUAUACAUAUCUUAUACAUAUACAUAUUUUCUACAGAAAUUAUACAGUUUUGAUACACAAUUUAUACAAUAAUUAUACAGUUCAUUUUACACAUUUUAUACAAGAAUUAUAUAAUUUUUAUACACAUUCUAUACAACCUUUAGCUGCAAUAAUUAUUCGAAUACGUAUUUUAUACAACAAAUAUAAGUUUUUCUACACAUUCUAAACAAUUUUUUAUAUAUAUUUUAUACAUAUACAUAUUUGAUAGAAUUAUACAAUUUCUAUACACAUAUCGUAUAUAGGUAUAUAUUCUAUAUAACAAUUAUACCAUUUUUAUAUAAUUAUAUUCAAUUAUUAUUUUUAAAUAGCAAAAAAAAAAUAUAUUUUUCAAUUAAAAAAUUCGUAGCAAAAAAAAUAAACAACUGGAACAUUUUUAGAAAAGAGCCGAAUGACCCAAAUUGAAAAAGGACAGGAUAUAAAAAUAUCCAUAGGCCUAAGCUUGGGCCAUUAGUUUUAAGAUGGGUCAGACCAUGUCAUUUUUCCUUAUACUAACCGAUCCUACGAAAAGGAAAAUUGGAUCUUAGACAUCCGAUUGUUAGUUUAUUAGUGAAAGUGUAGUAAAUCUUUAAAAAAAAAAAAUCAAAAAAUAAAAAAAAAAUUGACGAACACUUGUGAUGAGACAUGCCUAUUGGGCAGCCCAAUUUAUUUGACAGUCCAGAUGGGCCCAUGAAUUUAGCCCAAAUUAACCAUCCCAAACUUGUUGCUUUGACUCUUUAAGAUUACCCUACGUAGUAGGAUAAAAUAGGAGGGUCACCACACAUGGAGUGAUGAGGACCAAAUUGAUUUGGAUUGUAGUAGUAGACAAUUGGCGCACAAACACUGAGUGCUACUUCAACUCUGUAUCAACUUGAUUCCAUCCCCGAAUUUCCUCAUCUGAGACCAAUGAUUUACCGGAAAAGGCCUAAAACAUCCUUCAACUAUGUAAAAUGAAGUAAAAAGACCCUUCGUCUACCUAUUGAGCGUAAAAUAUCAUUUUCGUCUACCUAUUAGGCCAAAAAUACAUUUUCACCUACUGAUUGAACCUAAAAUGCCCUUCUCGUCUACCUAUUGAGCCUAUUUUGCUCUUUUAUUUAGCAAAUUACAUAGAAAGGCCGUCUCUAAAACUUAAUUACAUAAAUAAUAGUGCUUUUUCAAUAUUACAAAAAUAAAAGUUUUUUUUACACAUAUAGUCAUUUAACAAUCAAUUCACCUUAAUUUAAGAGAUAGAUUUUCAAUCUUCAAAUUAAAAGUGGAAAAGAUAAUCCCUACUUUCAAAUCUUUCUCUCUUAUAUUCAAAAUUUAAAUAUUUUUAAAUAAACUAAAUAUUCCAUUAUUUGCUCGUGUAUGUUUGAUUUUGUUUUCAUGUAUAUUUUUAUUUUUGGCUAAAAGGGGGUUAUAUUAAAAACGUAAGUAUUUGAUACAGGUUAGCCUCAUCAGUUUGGCUCAAAAAUAACAUGAUCCACACUACAGUUUGUGCUAUUAAAUUUUACAAAUCUGGUAAACGAAGUUCCUAAUAUGUCUGUCCAGACAGUUUCAAGCGCAAACACAGGAGGAACUUUCAAAAUAUGGGUGGAUCCAAAAAAUUUCCUACGUGCUCCUUCCUUUGCAAGUGAGUUUGCUUCUUGGUUUUGCUCCCUAAAACAAUAAUGCACUGCUAGUCAUCCCACUAUUGUCAGCAAGGACCUAGAAAUAUCAAUAAUGUGAUCAUAAUGCAUAUUCCCAUAUUUUAACAUGUAAAUAACCUAUUAGGAAUCAAUAUUAAUCUCUAUGGGAAGGAGACUGUUAUCGGAGGCUAUUUUUAGGCCCUUCAGCAGUGCUAGAAGCUCCAUUUAUUGUUUGUGGCAUUAGGAUAACCCUUAUGAAAGCCUAGGAUCUAAUCACCAUUGUUAUUUUUUAUUACACCACCUAUUCCCCCAAUCCCUAGAUUCUCCAAGAUGGAGUUAUCCGUGUUUAGUUUGUAGGAACCUUGAGGAAGGGGGUACCAUUUAACAAAAAUGGUGACAAGGCCUUGCUGAUGGGUGGGGUGGUAUUUUGUUAGAUGGGUGUAUUCGAUAGCAGAAGCGUAAGCGCUUUGAAAGGAGGGAGAGGAGCUGCAAUUAUUAAAGGUAUUCCCAUUUAUACAAGUCCAGAUUUCCUACAGACAAAAGACAAAAAGGAUAUCAGGAUCAAUAUGGCUGUCAAAGGGUUUGUUGCGCACCCAGUUUUUAACAGUUUCCAACAUAUUGUCUGCAUUGAUGACAUUCAGGUUAGGGGAUUUUCAUCCCAGCUGAUUGAAGAGAUUUGCCCAAAGUUGAGAAGCUUUGGGGCAGUUCCAAAAAAUAUGGGGCACGCCCCCUCGGGUGUUAUUGCAACAGUAGCAAUUAGGUGAGAUCGGGAUACCUCUCCUAGCAGAAAUGAAGUUACAGGGAAGUUUAUUGUGGUUGAUCAUCCAGAGAAAGUGUUUCAUCUUGUUAGGGACAUUUAAGCUCCAAAGCCAAGAGAAGUUCUUAUGGUUCUUGGGAGGGAAGAAUUUUUAGCUGAUGAGCCUGUAAGCACUAUUGCUCUUAAAAAGUUCAUAGCCAGUACGUCCCCAGAUAGGGUAGUCAGUGAGGCUUUUGGUGGUUUGGAAGAAGCUAGACUGAAUAGAUUCGGUGAUGUUUUGAGGUAGUUCAAAAGGGAGGGUGGAAAAAUCCCAAGUCCCAUUUCGCCAGAAUUAAGAGACAGUGGCUUGGUCAAGGUUCUUGGUGGGAUGCCCUUGGAUGAUGUUGCUAAGGGCGUCAGUGUUGGGGAUCCAUUUGUCAGUCCAAAAUUUUGUUUGUUCUCCUUUAUGUAUGAUCCAUAAAGAGGCUUCUCUGUAAAUGACUUUCCCCUUAAGGAUACAUUUCCAGGUUCUGGAGGCUCUCUGAUUUUGAGUGGUCAGGUUGUACUUGCCAAGCAAAAGCCUAGACCAAAGAGAGUGGGGGUUCUUGGUGAGUCUCCAUAUUAGGGCACAAUGCAUUAUAUCAUUUUUGGUACAAUCUUUCCUGAUUCCCAAACCACCAAGGUGUUUGGGUUGGGUAAUGACAUCCCAGUUAAUCAUGUGGAUCUUUUUAUUCAAAUCAGUAGUACCCCAAAUAAAGUUACUUUGGAUUUUGUUAAUGUGGUGGGUAGUUUUUUGGGGUAGCUGAAUGUACUGCAUGACAUGAGUAAGAAUGCUAUUCAGGGAGGCUCUAGUGAGAGUGGUUCGGCCAGCCUGGUUAAGAAACUGGUUUUUUCCAACCAGCUAAUUUAGCUUUCAUAUUGUCAAUGAUGAACUGGAAGUCUCCAUUGUUUGGUGCUUUAUGAAAGAUUGAAAAAUCAAUGUAUUUCCCAAAAUUGUCUUUAUGGUGAAUGUUAAGGAUGGAAGCCGGAUUAUUACAAGUAUCCAUAGAACAAUUUUUGGAAAAGAGAACCUUGUACUUGUUUCUAUUGAUUUUUUUACCCGAAAAAGCACAAAAGGAGUCAAGAAUCCUCUUGAUGGUUUCACAAUUCUUUUGGUUGGCUUUGGCAAAGAGAGUAAGGUCAUCGGCAAGUAAGAGAUGGGAGAGUUUGGGACCUUUUCUGCUGAUGGAGAUGGGGGACCGUUUGAAAAGGUCAACCUCAUGAUCUAUCCUUCUAGAGAGAAUUUCCAUGGUGAGGAUGAAAAGGGAGGGGGAGAUUGGGUCUCCUUGUCGAAUUCCUCUAGUAGAUUGGAAGUAGUGGGUGCUGGAACCAUUAGAAAGAAUAGAGAUAGAGGAAGUGGAAAUGCAUGACAUGAUUAGGUUGGAAAGCUUCGGAGAAAAAUUAAAGAAAUGGAGGGCUUGUCUAAUAAAAGAUCAUUCGAGUCGAUCAAAAGCUUUUUCAAGGUCUAUUUUGAUGAUUAUGUUGCCCGUGUUCCCUUUCAUAUUCUUGAAGUGGCUUAUGUACUCUUGGACCAUGAUUGCAUUAUCCGAGGCUCUUCUGUUGGCUAGGAAACUAGCUUGAGUGGGGCUAAUGACAUUUACCAAGAAAGGUUUGAUUCUGUUGGCGAUAAUCUUGGUGAUGACUUUAUACGGUGUUGCAAAGUCCAAUGGGCCUGAAGUUUUGAAGAGAAACAACAUUUUGGCAUUUGGGGAUAAAGUAGAUGUAUGUUGUGUUGACCUGCUCCUCUAUCUUGCUAGAAGUUAAAGUUUUGUUGCAAAAAGAGAUGAGUUGGGGCAUAUGAUGUCCCAGAACUUUUGAAAGAAGAGGGGGUGGAGGCCAUUAGGGCCUGGAGCUUUAGUAAAUUUAAAAUUGAUCACAACUCUCUUGAUCUCAUUGACAGUAGGGACACUGUCUAGUAUGUCAUGAGCGAGAUCAGGGAUUGAACCCCUGGAAGAGGGUUUUUUUUAGAGGCAUAGUGGGAUGAAGUGUGGUCAAUAGAGUAAAGGUCCUUGUAGAAGGAAAGAAUGGUUUGGUUAAUAACAUCAGGGCUUGUGACCCAACUGCCAUUAUCCAAUUUCAGGGAAUUAAUUCUAUUCUUUCUUCUUCUAUCUCAAUCGUGUGGAAGAAUCUAUUGUUAGCAUCCCCCUCUGAGAGCCAGUUAAUCCUGGAUUUGAGUUUACAAAAUUCAUACUCUUGCUUAAGGGUAUCACUAAAUUUCUUCUGAAGGGUGGACUCAAGGUUUUGAAGGAAAGAGCUAGAAAGGUAGUGGGUACUUUUCUGGAUACCCGCAAUUCUUGCAAGAAUCCUUUUCUUUCUGGUGAAGAUGUUUCCAAAAACUUCUUUAUUCCAAGGGAGGACAAUGGAUCUAAAAGAGUCAAUGGAGUCAGUGAGAUUGCUUUCAGUAAGGAAAGCUUGGUUUAUCAGGGAAGGAAACUGGGGGUGAGAGCACCACAUAGGUUCCAUUCUAAAGGGCUUAGCUCUUCUAGGGUGGUGUGUGGUAAGACUAAUCAGGAGGGAGCAGUGGUCGGAAUGUGUCCUGGGGAGGUGAGUUACAUUAGUUUCAGGGUAUAGAUGAAGCCAACUAUCAUUAGCAAAGCAUCUGUCAAGUCUUUCUAGGAUAAGGUUGUUUCUGUUCCUAUAUCUUUUGUUAGUCUAAGUGUACCUUCUGCCCUUAAAUCCCAGGUCAACAAGACAACAUUGUAAUGCAAUCCCAAAAGCUUUUGGCCUUGUUGCUGCUAAUGGGGUUGCCCCUAUAUUUUUCAGCAGCUCUGAGGACUUCAUUAAAGUCGCCUUCCGCCAGCCAACUAGUAUACUGCUAUGAUUAAUGGUAUUGACCAUAGUAAUCAGCUGGUUCCAGAGGAGUUUCCUAUCAUUAAGAUUAGUGCUUGCAUAAAUGAUACUUAGAAACCAAGAAUGAGAAGAGGAAUUUACCUUGACAGCAGCACGGAUGCUUUGAGGAGUAAUGGAUAUGUCAUUGAUGCUAAAGUGGUCCUCUUUCCACAUCAAGACAAUACCACCAGAUAAUCCAAUGACUCCAGAUUGAAGGAGACACUCGAAGCCAAGGUCAUGAGUCAGGGUAUGGUGGUCAGCCAUCCUGGUUAGCCCUUCUUGAGACCAGGAUGGCUUACCACCAUACCCUGACUCAUAACCUUGGCUUCGACUGUCUCCUUCAAUCUGGAGCCAUUGGAUUAUCUGGUGGUAUUGUCUUAAUGUGGAAAGAGGACCACUUUAGCAUCAAUGACAUAUCGUGUAUUUUUAAUCAUCUAAUAUUAUUCAUCUAAUAUUAUUUCAUUAUCGUGUAUUUUUAAUUCUAAUGUAAUGGGUUAAUCAUAAUUUUGUAUGGAUAAAUAUUUAUGGAAUAAAAAUCAUUAUGUUGGAAGUACAUAUAUACCAUGUAUUUUGUUGUAUAAAUAUAAUUCAUGUUAAAGUCAGAUUAUUAUAAUAUUUUUGAUAUAAUUUAUGAUAUAAAUAUUCAUGGUAUAUUUCAUUAUGUCGGAAGUACUUUGCUUGUUAAAAAAUUAUUUAUUAAAUAUAAAUAUAUAUAUUUUCAGUAUUACACGGUAUAAACUUUUUAUAUCUAAAAUAUACCAUGUAUGUUUAUGGUAUAAAUAUAAUUUAUAUGGUAUAAAUAUAUCAUGUAUUUUUUAUGAUAUAAAUAUGAUUUGUAUAAUAUAUAAAUAUACCAUAAAUUUUUAUGGUAUAAAUAUAUCAUAUAUUUUUAUGAAGGAAUUGUGAAAGAGGGCAAUAAAAAUGAAAAAUAUAAAAUUUUGAUGUAGUAUAUAAAAAUGCAUUUUCAUUAAUUUGUCUAAAUAAAAGGGCAAAAUAGCCCCAAUAGGUAGACGGGAAGGGCAUUUUACGCUCAGUAGGUAGACAUAAAAGAUAUUUUAGGCCCAAUAGAUAGACGGAGAGUAUUUUUACACCCUUUCAGGGUGUAAAAAUGGCAGGGUGUGUGUGAGACAAGGCAUUUUAUUAUUUUACGUAGUAUUGGAUGAAGUGUAAUUGUGUAAGUUUUGAAAUACAAGCCGUAAUUUCCAUGAAUAUGAAGUGCAUGCCAGGCAAGACGUUUUACAUAAUAUAAGAUUAAUAUGAGAUGAAGUGUAAGUUUUAAAAUACAAGGCAUAAUAUAAAUCUUGCGAGUUUAUGGGGAGUAAGCCUAUAUAUGUUCAAUUUUAUUACUCAAAAAAUAAGCAAAUUAAAAUUUAUUAUUUAUGAUAUGUAUUAAUAGUUUAUAGAAAAAAUUAUUGAAAUAAUUAUUUGAGAAAUGUCAACACGAAAACGAUAGUAGCUGAGAUAAUCUUUAAAAAUGAAAUCAUCACUCAAUCCAUCAUGGAACGCUACAUUACUCUUGUUUAUAUAUUUCGAAAAAGAACUUUAAAAAAUGCAUAAACAAUGGCAAAAAAUGGAUAAAGUUACUUCAAAACAUAGUGCUUAUGAAAUUUUUAUCUUAUCGACUCUAGGCAUAAUCGAGUAAUAGAAAAAUUCCAUUAGUGGCAACAUCAUUUUCUUUGAGAGUUGAUUUAUAUUUAUUCACAUAUUUUAGGAAAAUCACUACAACACUGUACCAAUAAUUUUAAAAAAAUGAUCUGUAGCAAAAAUACUUCUAAAACAACAAAGCAAAUUUAAAGCCCACAACAUGUACACUUUUAUGUUCAGAAUUUUAUGUCUAGAGCAUACACUUUUAUGUCCAAAAUUUACACUUCAAAUUAUAGGACAGAUAUCCUAUGAAUUUCAGCUUUCAUUGUGUUUCGAAAUAUUUUUUAUAUGCCUUGCCCUGAAACACUCCUUACAAUUAAAAUCAAAUAUGAUACACAUUUUGCUGCACUAACUAUUAACACUCGACCGGUUUGCUCUGAUACCAUAUUAAGCUUUGAAUUAUCAACUAAUAAGUAAAACAAAUUGAAACUUCAUUGAACAAGUGGUGAAUUUUACAUUCUCAAUCUCUAGAAUUUACACAGUGAUAUUCUGCAAAUGCAGUCCAUAAUUGCCUCUAUUUAUAGAGAAUUUUACACCGCCUCUAUCCUAAUAACCUCACAUGAAAGUCAAAUACUGCUCUAACAACUCUUAACUGCAUUUAACAUAAAUAACAACUUGCCAGACAGCUUGGCAUUCUCUGUAACUCAAUACUUUCACCACCAUCUUCAUUGAAAUAGGAAUGUUAUUUGGAUGUUAAUGAAGUUAAGUGCAGAGACACUACAAAAAAUAAGGUUCAUCUUCAUUGAACAAAAUGAGUAUUGACUUAAUCUUUUGAAUGUGAUAGUUUUUUGUUAAAUUCAUACAAAGUCUUACAUAAGAUUACACUGAGUACUACUUAUCUUCUUGUUUGCUUAAGCUAAAAUUAUCAUUCUUGGGUUUAAGUGGGAUUGGUAUCAUGUUAUUCACUUGGUUAUAGAGUAAUAUUUUGCCCAAUGAUAUUUAAAGAUAAACUAUAGCAGCUGGAUUUUACUGAAGCUUCUCUCUCAAACAAUAAAAUUUGUUUUCAAUAAGGUUCAUUUUUUAUUCUUUUUCUUGCUGCUAUUUCAUUAGUUUUGUUUGCGUACUCUGUCAAAGCUUCUUGUUAAGUUUUUAAUGAAUGCUUCUUAUUUCACGAAAUUUGAAUACAUCAUAUCAUGUUUAGUUGUCUCUAAUAGGGUGAUGCAACGUCUAGAUCUUAGUAUGCUGGACGGCUAAGCAUUAAUACUUUUCUUUAAACGAUUUUUCUCCUAAAUGCAUAAGAUUUGUAGGUGUUUUGUUAGUCCAAUCAUGAAGAAUUUGAUAUUAUUUUUUCAAUUCGAAGUUUGUUGGAGUUAAUGACAUCUCUGAUUUUUGGACAUCUAAUGGAGCUUUCCUGCAUAUACUAUUUAAACUUCUUUUUAGUUGUGACUUGUGUUUUAAUUUAGUGCUAAAUGUCCCAUUAGAAUAUUAAUUUAAGGUAGUCUCUUUAAUGGUAGCAUAUAUUGCGUUGAAGGUUUCGAGUCUUUUGUAAACCAACGUCUCCAAUUUAGGGUUUAAGAACUAGGGUAAUGAAAUUAAGGUAACAGAUGAAGAGUAGUGCUUAUUGGUUUAAUUCUUGCUUCCCCUCCCCCUGGUAUUGAUAAAGGAGCUGGUAAGUGAUUUCUGAAUAUAUUCCUUCUCUUCCCCGGACACCAAAUAAAAGGAGUCCUAAUGAAAGGGAUAUUUAUCUAAUCCUAUCGACAGUGUAAACCUCCCAAUAGUAACUAAAUUGAAAAAAUAAACAUAGAAGAGAGUUUUUUCUAUAAUAUUAGAUUAGUAUUAGUUAGUGAUCCUUGUUUCUACUUGUAAUUUAAUUUGUGGGAGUAGUUAUACUCUAUCAACUUGUAUCUCUUUUCUUAUUAGUUAGUUCUCUUCUUUCAGCCACGUACUUGUAUAAAUUUUUUUUCAUUACAAUGUUAUUUAUAUGUGGACUUAGCUUAUGGGGGAAUUUAUAUAAAUGUUCUUUUUCAUUGAUGCGUGAUUAUAGUAUCUUGGCUAAUCAUAUUGGUUAAUAGUAUUCAUUUUUUUUUAAUUUGUUGUUUUGUUUUCAUCAUUCUUCUUUUCUUUCACUUUCACAUGCCGUCUUUGAUAUAGAUUUUUCACUUCACAAGUUAAAUGAACUGGGUUAAGAUUGAAUAGGUUUUUCACUGCACAAGUUGAAUGAAUUUGGAAAAGACUGAAUAUCAAUAGUUUUUUAUUUCGUUGUCCGAUCCAAAGGUCGGAUUGUUAUUUAUAUUUUUCUUGUGUUUUGCUUCCUUUCCAUAUCCACCCUUCCCCAACUUUUAUGUUGGUUCAUCUGUUACAUAUUACUCAUUUCUAUAUCAAAAAUAUAUAUUUUAUUUUACUUAUCUAAUUUAAAAUAUUAAGAGAGUUUAAUCAUAUUUUUUUGUCUUUUCAUGCUUAGUAUUAAAUACCUACAUAAAAUAGUAUUAUUCAAAUUCAAAUUUUAAAAUAUCAUUAAUAAGACUAAUUUAAUAAAAUAUCCUAAUAAUUUUUUUUUCAAGACUUGUGUCAACUCAUUAUAGGUUAAGUAAUAUAAAAUAAAUGAGUAAUUUAAUAAUGGAUUAUCACUAUUGUAGUUUCUUGUAAUCAACUAAUUAGCACAUUGCAUUCAGAUUUUAAGUAUUUAAUGGUUUAUAAGUUGUCAUCUAAUGCUUUUAUUUAAUUAUUUCAAUCUAGUGAUGCAAAUCGAAAUGUGCUUACUUCACUCAUGGAUGGAGAAUCACCAGGCAAAUAUUUGGUAUUUCAUAUCUUUAUAUUAGAUUUUUAAGGAUCACCAGGCAAAUAUUUGGUAUUUCAUAUCUUUAUAUUAGAUUUUUAAGGAGUUAUAAACUUUAAGUUAUCGAAAUCGAGAUUGUUAAUUAGGUUUUACAUGAAUUAGAUUUGUGUUGUUUUGUACUCGAAAUAUUUUUAGUUUAUUCUAUGUUAUAGGUUCUAUAUGUGGUAAUUGUAUUAUUUUGUAAGUCGAAAGUUUUCUAUUUAGUCUAUGUUAUAAAUGGUAGUACAGUAAAAUUAUUUAUAUGUAAGAAUAUAGUUCUAAAGUUUAUUUUAAAAAAAAAAUCAAAACAAUGUGUGACGGUUAUAAAUGCUUACAAAUAAAAUUAUAUAAGAUAUUGAGACUAUAUUGUGGUGGUUAUAAACCCUCAUAGGUUGAAGUUAUUAAAAAUCUAAGAUCUUAUUAUAAAGGUUAUAAAUUGUUACAAAUUGAAGUUUAAAACUGCCACAAAUUAAAAAUUUAUUUGUUGGCGGGCGGUAGUGGAGGUUCUAUAAAACAGCCACAAAUUUGCUCGUGGCAUGACUUAGUGUUGUAUUUUCUGAAACCGCCUUAAUUUUUUCUGCGGGAGUUAAAAACUCACACAAAUUGAUAAUAAAUCCUCCACAAAAUGUAUCUUUUUUGUAGUGCUAGAUCUAGCAAGACAUGCGAAGACUUGCAUAUAUAGAUUGGACCAAGUCUGGCUACAAGAAUAUUAAGGUGCCUAGUUGUUGCAAUGAAACACUUAAACUUCACAGCAUGAGAAAGACCCCUGAAGAAGAAGUAGCUAUUUGUGAAUGUAUCAUAUCAGAAUUGCAACAUCCAAAUGUUAAUACAAAAGCAGCUAAUCAACUUACUUGGGGUUGUAAUGUCCUCGUCCUACCCUACCACCCCAAUUGUCAAAUGUUCAGAGUAAGUUUAAUUGAUUUAAUUCGAUGCAUGCACAACUGCACCCUUAUAAUAUGCAUAAACUGCAGAAAUAUAAGGUAAGACUGCAUAUAAUAAACUCUUGUUGUUCGACUCUUUUUCGAUAGUGAAAAUUUUAGUGUACCGAACUGUCCUUUUUAAUAUAGUAACAUAAUAAAUGAGGGUUUCUAUCGUUUUUAUAAUUAACUGUGGUGACCGUCCACAACUAAAUUAGUUUAUGAUCGAACUAUUUGCCAACGAUUAAACUUAGAUGAACAGAAAGAAAUCACCUAGCUAACACUUUAAUAUGUCUUUGUUGAGACUAAAAAUAUGUUGCAACUUGCAAGACUUAAUACACAAUUAGGCGAUCUCUCGUGAAUUUGAAAUGUAUUGUUAUAAAUAUUAGGUAAUUAGCUGAUAAAUUGACUAAAACAUGAGGUUAUUUCGGGCUUUGAGCUGUAGCUGACAAAAGAGUUUUAAAAUGAGGUGUAGGUGACACAAGUCUUAAUUAUUAAGUGGAGGUGACAAUUACUUUAUUAUGGAUUAAGAAAGUUGGAAAAGUUUAAAAAUAACCCCCAAGUUUUUAAAUUUACACUUUGAUCUAAAUGUUAGUUAAUAAAACAGAAAACGGAGGGAAAAAGAUGUGUUUCUCUCUCUCCGCAUCCGUUGUUGUUGUAAUACCCCGAACUUUCUUUAAGUCAAAUCUAGUCUCCAGGAGAGUGAGUGAUGGCUUCCUAAAUAAUUACUAUUUAAACCAGAUAAAAUUUCCCCAAUUUCAACUUUUUAUCAUGUGGGAAAUUGAAUUAGAUUUCCAACUAUACCAAUUUCGUCCAAAUCUAGUAUCGGAGUAAAAAGUUAUGGACGUUUUACAGAGGACUGUUGGAACUGCUCAAAAGCGACUGUCAGACCGACGGACCAUUGAGCUAGCGAUGGACCGUCACCCAAACCAUCGCAGGUGAGGCAGUAAGUCAAUCUUCUGGCUAGGGUGCGACGGACAGGUUGACGGACCGUCGCCCAAGCCAUCGAUACUAAGGCAGUACAUCUCUAUUCUGGUCCAAGUAUGAAGGUCAUUCCGAUGGACCAUCGACCCAGCAAAAAACCAUUGCAGAUCUCGUUCAGCGAUUUCUAUGCCGUUUUUAAAAGGGUAUUUGGGUUUGUAAUACCCCAUAGUUUUUCUAGCUUGAAAAGUUUCCCCAAGAAUGUUAGAAGCUUUAUUUGUAAGAUGAAUAUACUUUUGUACAUGUGGUAUUUUUAAGAUUUUCAUUUUUUAUCAUAUGGGGAAUCGAAGAAGCUUUCCAUCGAUACCAAAUUAGCCCAAAUCCGACACCCAGGUUAGAGCCUUUUUAGUGAGACAGUGUAUCACCUGAACCAUCAGCGCAUCGCGGAGAUAGCUCAAAUGGCAAUUGUCAAUUUCCAGUGUUGCUCCGCAAUAGUGGCGCGUCGCACCAAAAUUCCAGUUCGUAGACAAGGUGGCAACACGAUUGCUCUGUAUCGCGCCACCGUGCAAUUUCCCAUUUGUCACUUUCCAGUGACUUGGAGCGAUAGUGGCGCGUCGCGUCAAGGAUGAAAACCAAAAGUUUUUCUCAGAAAUUAAAUACGUGCAGGGUUAAAAGAGUAAAUUUCUCAUCCUAUAUAAGCCUUAUAACACGAGAUUUGGCCAUAAUUCAGCAACUUAUACUCAAUUACUCUCAAAAACUCUCAAGAACAAGCCCUAGGAUUUUCAUAGAAGGUUCAAUUCCAAGGGAAUUCACCAUCAAAUUUCAAGAAUCUCUCAGGCAAUCUUCAUAGAAUCACAAGCUAAGGUAUGCGUAGUGUUCAUUCAUGGACUCCUUUCGUCCAUAAAGCCCAAGAAUCUCUUUUCUAAGUUUAAGUUUAUGAAUUUAUUUAUGAAUUUCAUGUUGGGUUUAUUUUGUUUAUGUUGAGAAUGAUCAAUUGAAUUCAAAUCUAUGUUGGGUGAUCAAUUUUAUAUGGAAUUGAUUUGUACAGAUGUAUAUUCAUGUAAACCUAUAAAUAAACCCUAGGAUGAUGAAAUUAGAGAUGAAUCAUGAUGAUUAAUUGUUGUAUAAUGUUGUCUACAUGUGCUAUGCCUACCAUGUGUAUGAUUAAAUGCCUAGAUGAAGGAACAAUGCCCAACUAGCAUGAUAUCAUGAAAUCCCUAUGUAUGUACAAGCUUAUGCAUAUCACAUGUUUGAUGAAGUGCUUCAAUAUAUGAAUUAUGAAUUGUGUUGUUGGUCAUGUGUUCAAGUAAGCCAUACUAUGUUAGUUUCUUCUCAUCGAGUCUUGGGGGUACUUGUACCCGAACAUUUAGUUAUGUGCCUAGAGUCAUGUCAUGUUUUCACGAUCUCCUCAGUCAAGCUAUGAUCCAUAGAACUCAAUAAGUCAUGUGACUCAGGAAAUCUCUGUAAUUUGAGUAGCUCAGUAAUCUCAGUGACCUCAGUAUUCCCAGUCAAUCUCAGUAACUUCAGUAUUCUCAGUCAGUCCUUAAAACUCAGUACAUUCUGUCAGUCAAUGAAACUCAGUAAAUUCAGUUUAGCUCCACUGGACAAUACCACUAGUGUCAGUUCAGUUUAGUUAAUCAACUCAGUUCAGAUAAUCAGUUCAGUGUCUUUCAGAUGGUUGUAGGAUUCAGCACCAAGUGAGCCUAGGGAUGGGGACUCACCCGCUAGAUAGGACUGAUAUCCCUAGAAGCAAUCCCUAAUUUUCAGAACUACGUAGACAGCGUAGGUACGAGAUGUCACCCAUUAGAUAGGACUGACAUACUCAGGGAUCACCCGUUAGCGCAUUUAAAUGUAUAGGACUGAUACUAGGGGUCACUCGCUAGAUUAGGACUGACUCCACAGUAGUUGUCUUUACCAGUGGCGCGGUACUGACACCCUUCCAACUGGGGUUACAGGUUGGACUCCAGUUAUCUUAGUAUGGGGCAUGUCGGUUAGAUGAAUACAUCCCACAGUUUCAGUUACAGAAUAAGGACUGUCAGAUAUAGUCAAUUCAGCUCAGUAGUAUAGAUUUAGGACUGUCAGAUACAGUCACUCCUUAUCAUUAUAAAUAGACUCGGGGAUUACCCAUUAGAUAGGACUGAUCUCAACUAGGUCAAUCAGUAAUGGUAUCAUCAGAUUUAGAGAUCACCCACCCGCCAGAUAGGACUGAUCUCAGGUUCAGUUACUCAGAUACAGUACAGAACUUAGCUAGUUCCAUCAGAUUUAGGACUGUUAGAUACAGUCACUCAUGUUAUCAGUUAUAUCAGUUAUUAGAACUCAUGUUAUCAGUAUUCAGCUUUAGGACUGUUAGACAUUGUCAACCAGACUAGUUCUUCAUAAUAAAAACUAUCAGAAAUAGUUAUUCAUAUAUCAGUAACAUAGUAUCUGUCCCUCAGAUAUCAGUAAUUCCAUGUUAUUAGUAAACUCAGUAGUUAGAACUUAGCAUUCAAUCCUAUCACGAUGUCAGUUACAGUUAUGUAUGCAUACAUGUAUUCUCACGUUCAUGUUAGUUAGUCAGUUAGUAUUGUUCAUGCAUAUGAACCUAUUGCAUUCAUCCUACCUCACUUGUAUACCAGUACAUUCAAAGUACUGAUGCAUUUGCACUAUGGUGUCUUAUACCAUAGGUUAAGAAGGAUGAGCUCCAGAGAACCAGUAGCAUCCCAGUUCAGUGAUCAGAGUUAGCAGUGAGUCCUCAUCCUUUGAGGACAUAAUAAUCAUAUUACAAUUUCAGUUUUCAGUUUAUUUCAGUAAUCGGAGUUAGUUGGGGACAUGUUCCAUCAACUCAUUAUUCAGACAGUUUAGAGGCUUUCAGACUAUAGCAUGUUAGACAGUUAUCUCAGUUGUUUUGGUAUUUCUAUACCAUAUUUUUCAGUUAUUUAGUAGUAUUGAACCUUGUGGCCUUUCAGUUCAUAUUUCACAUUUACGAUAUUAUUACUAUUAUUCAGUGCUUAGUUUACAGAUAUCAGUCAUGGGUUAGCUUGUGGUCCUUCGGGGUCAUGGCCAUCGUGUAGCAUUCCGGGUACCAGAUUCGAGGCGUUACAGGGUUUUUUUGCACCCGUUUUAACCCCUAAUUAUACGAGAUAAUAGCUCAUAACUUCAUUAUUCAUUCACAACAUCCAAUUAGGAUUUCUCUCAAAGAUCAAUCCCUAAGAACAAGAAACCCUAGGUGCUUAAUCCCAAGUCAAGAACUCAAGAUUCCCCCUACCAAUCUUAAAAAAAUCAUCCAUCCAAAUAUGAAAAGUGUUGAUUCAUGGGUUUCUUUCACCCAUGAAUCUCAAGAAUCCCAUUUUUAAACUCAUGAAUUGUGAUUUCCAUAUAGUGGGUUGAUUUUAAUUAUGUUGAUGUGGUUGUAUGAAUCCCAAGUUGGAGUCUUUAUGUACUUUUCAUGAAAUUAUGCUAGUAUGUGGGUUGAAAACUUUUAAAUGGAGUUGAUUAAAGUAACCAUGAUGUAUGAACUAGUGUAUAUGCCUAAGCCUAAGGUUAUGCAAGCAAUGUGUUUGAUAAAAUGCCCAAAGAACAAGAAUCAUGCUUUAGGACUCAAUUAUGACCAAAUUGAUAAACCCAUGCUUUACCCUUAUGUUCAAAAUGACUUCCAUGUUAUUGCUAUGCAUUGAAAUUGUUUGAUGGAUUGUUCAUGAGAUUAGCCUAUGAAAUUAUGACAUGUUUAUAUGCUUUCGUAUUCAUGUACCAAACCAUGAUAAUCAAGUGCCUCAUGAAAUUCCCCAAUGAUUGUAUUAUGGAUUGUUGAUUAUGGUCGUGAGUCCAAGAAGUGUCAUGUCUUCUCAGUUUCAUGCUAUCGAGUCCUGGGGGUACUUGUACCCGACAAUUUAGUUGUAUGCAUAGAGUCAGUGUCAUGUUUUCAAGAUACUCUCAGUCAAGCCAUAUUCAGUAGAAUUCAGUUAGUCUCAUGACUCAAAAAAACUCAAUAAUCUCAGUCAGCUAUCAGAUCUCAGUAAUAUUCCGUCAGUUAACGAAACUCAAUAAACUCAGUCCAGUCAGUUCAGUAUAAUUAAUUCAGUAUCUAAUCUGAUAGAAAUAGGAUUCAUCACAGAGUGAGCCUAAGGAUGGGAACUCACCUACGAGUAGAGGGUGUGAUUCUUAGAAGCAAUCCUUACGAUUCAGAACUACGUAGCCAGUGUAGGUUGAAACAUCUAACCUUUUAGAUGAGGGUUGAUGAAGUGGCUUAACCUGUUAGAUGAUGGUCCCACCAUUCUCCUUAGAGUACGUUUUAGAUGAGGGAUCACUCACAGCUUAUCCUUACCAGUGGUGUGGUUGACACCCUUCCAAUUUGGGUUACAGAUUGGACCCCAACUCAGCUAUAAUGCUUUAUUUGGGGCAUGUCGGUUAGAUGACUACUUUCCACAGUUACAAUUUCAGUCUCAAUCUCAGUAAUCAAACUUAGAUAGUUUUACAGAAUUCAGGACUACUAGAUAUAAUCAACUCAAAAUAGUAUGGAACUCAGCUAGUUUUAUCAUAACCUAGACUGUUAGAUAUAGUCGCUCAGUAUUAGUUAUCAGUAUUUAGACUCAGUAGUCAGUAUCUUCAUGAAUUCAGUUACAAUCGUUUAUUCAUACAUGUAUUCUCAUGUUCAUGUUAUACAGUCGAUUAACAUAGUUCAUGCAUAUAAACCCUUACAUUUAGCCUACCUCAGUUCCAUACUAAUACAUUCAAUCGUACUGAUGCAUUUGAGCUAUGGUGUUUUAUACCAUAGAUUCAGAAGCACAAGCUUCAGAGUAUCAGUUGCAUUCCAGUCUCAGUAUUCAGAGUUAGAAGUGAGUCCUCGUCCUUCGAGGACAUGAUCAUUAUUUUUUUAUUUCAUUACUCAGUUUAUUUCAGUAGUUGGAGUUAGUUGGGGACAUGUCCCAUCAACUCCUUAUUCAGACAGUUUAGUUAGUUAGAGGCUUUUUAGACUACAGUAAGUUCAGACAGUUUAUCUCAGUUCAUGUUUUGGUAUUGAUAUAUCUUACUCUCAUUAGUAUGUUUUAUCUGUUUUGAACCUUAUGGCAUGUUCCAGUCUAUUUUUUCUAUAUUUUACAUGAUGUCAUAUAGUAUAUAGGUACAAAUAUCAGUCAUGGGUUAGUUUGUGGUCCUUCAGGGUCAUGAGCACUGUGUAGAAUUCUGGGUACCAGAUUAGGGGUGUAAUAAACUUUGUAUCAAAGCCUAAGGUUCAACAGUGUCCUAGGAAGUCUGAAAACUGCAUCUAGUAGAGUCUUGUACAUGGGUGUGUUGCACGCCACACUUAUGUGCAGGAGGUUAUAAGAUGUUUGGAAACAAUUUCCCAUUUUUUAGUAUUCAUACCGUGCCAGUGAGCAUAAUCUCAAGUUAGUCUCUCAGUUUAAUCCCUUUGUCUUCCAUUUACAGAACAUCCCUCCCAAGAAGAGAACUGGGAAUCAGUCAGCCCUUCAGCCCGAAGAUCCUUUGGACGAGCAUAUUUCUCGUGAAGAGUUCAGAGCUGCAUUCACUACUCUUGCUUAAUUAGUCACUUCUCAGAAUAAAUGACUAGCUAUCGUUCUGACCAACCCAGUGGCUAAUUCAACUGCAGCCAGAAUUUGGGACUUCACCCGAAUGAAUCCUCCAUCCUUUUUGGGUCUAAGUCAGAUGAGGACCCUCAGGAAUUUCUUGAACAAGUUCAUAAGGUUACAAACAUCAUGGGGGUUACUCCUAGUGAGAGUGCCGAGCUAGCUGUAUAUCAGUUGUAGGAUGUUGCUCACACUUGGUUUAAACAGUGGAAGUCAAAAAGGCCAGUUAAUGCAGGAACCAUAGAGUGGGAGGAGUUUGUCAUCGCAUUCUUAGAUAGAUUCUUUCCCCUGGAGCUGAGAAAAGCCAAGGUUUCAGAAUUUAUCAACCUCAGGCAGGGAAACAUGACGGUGAAAGAGUAUUCUCUUAAGUUUACUCAAUUAGCCAGAUAUGCUCCUCAUGUGGUUAUAGAUACCAGGGCUAAGGUGAGUAAGUUUGUUUCUGGGCUGAAUAAUAGUGUAGUCAAUAAGUGUAGUUCCGUGACAUUGAAUAGUGACAUGAACAUAGCCAGGUUUAUGACCCAUGCUCAACAGAUAGAAGAGCAAAAGAUAAAGAUAGGGGAGAAGUAGAAUAAAAAAGCUAGGAUAGGUAGUUUCAACUUUUCUUAGCCUAAGUUAUAGGGAGGAAGCCAUUCUUAGUUCUGUCCUAAAUCAUCAGUUCCAGCUCCUUGUUUAGCCAGUGUUCCAUCUCCUAAGUUCAGGGAUGGUAAUAGAGAUAGGGCGCCAGGCUCUAAGUCUCAGGGCAGUGUUAGCAAUGACUGAACUAAUCCCCUUUCUCAAACUUGUGGUAAGAACCACAACGGUGUGUGCAAAGCUAGCGGCGAUAUCUAUUUCAAAUAUGUCAAGCCAAGCCACAGAGUCAGAGAUUGUCCCCAGUCAGGUUAUUAGGGUCAGCAGAACCGUUUCUCAGCUCAGUCUUAUCGCCCAAAUCAGUAGGGUCCCACUUCUAGUGCUACUAGUGGGUAAUGCCCAAAUCGACUUUAUGCUUUCUAGUCCCGAAAGAAUCAGCAAAAUUCUUUUAAUAUGGUUACUGGUAUGUUACAGAUCUUUCACUUGCAUAUUUACGCUUUGCUAGAUUUAUGAGCUUUCUUGUCUUUUGUCACUCCUUACACAACAGUUGAUUUUGGAGUCAGUCCCGAAGUUCUAGUAGAGCGCUUUUUAGUAUCUGCCCCAGUAGGUAAAACUAUCAUAGCCCGAUAGGUAUACAGGAACUAUCUGGUUAUGAUAUUUCAGAAAGUCACCUCAGCAGACUUAGUCGAAUUAGAGAUGACUGAUUUUGAUGUCAUUCUCGGCAUGGAUUGGCUUUAUUCCUGCUAUGCCACAGUCGACUGUAGAAACAGAGUUGUCCAAUUUCAGUUCCUGAAUGAACUUAUCAUAGAAUGGAGGGGUAGUACUUUGGCUUUUAGAGGUCAACUUAUUUCUUACCUUCGGGCAAGGAAAAUGAUAUCUAAAGGAUGUGUCUAUCAUUUUGUUCGAGUUAAGGAUACUAGCUCUGAAACUCCCAAUCUUGAAUCAGUUUCAGUCGUGAAUGAAUAUUCAGAUGUUUUUCCCGAAGAUCUUCCAGGAAUUUCUCCCGAAAGAGAAACAGACUUCGGCAUUGAUCUCCUUCCAGAUACUUAGCCUAUAUCUAUUUUGUCAUACAGAAUGGCACCAGCAGCACUUAGAGAAAUAAAAGAGCAGUUGAAGGAUCUCUUAAAUAAGGUAUUCAUCAGACCCAGCAUAUCCCCGUGGGGUGCACCAGUCUUAUUUGUAUGAAAGAAAGAUGGUUCUCUCAGAAUAUGCAUUGAUUACCGUCAGCUCAAUAAAGUAACAGUCAAGAACAAAUAUCCACUUCCCAGAAUCAAUGAUUUGUUUGACCAACUUUAGAGUGCCCGUUAUUUCUCGAAGAUAGACCUCAGAUCAGGCUAUUAUCAUCUUAGAGUCAGAGAAUGUGACAUUUCAAAAAUAGCUUUCCAUACUCGAUAUGGUCACUUUGAAUUUUUAGUCAUGUCCUUUGGUCUUACUAAUGCUUCAGCAUCUUUCAUAGACUUGAUGAACCAUGUGUUCAAGUAGUACUUGGACAUGUUCAUCAUAGUCUUCAUAAAUGACAUUUUUGUUUAUUCCCGCAGUGAACGUGAUCAUGCAGACCAUCUCAAAAUAGUAUUUUAUACUCUCAGAAAUCACCAAUUGUUCGCCAAAUUCAGUAAGUGCAAAUUUUGGCUAAGGUCAGUAGAAUUCCUUGGUCAUAUCUUUUUCUGGUGAUGGCAUUAGAGUUUAUCCUUAAAAGAACGAAGCAGUAAGAAAUUGGCCUCGCUCUGUAUCUCUAUCAGAUAUCAGGAGUUUCUUAGGCUUGGAUAGCUAUUACAGAUGAUUUGUUGAGGGAUUUUCUUCUAUUUCAUUCCCUAUAUCCAAAUUGACUCAGAAGAAAGUCAAGUUUCAGUGGUCAGAUCCUUGCGAGAAGAGUUUUCAAGAGUUGAAGAGUCGACUCAUCUCAGCUUCAGUUUUGGCUCUUCUAGAUGUUUUUGAUGGGUUCGUAGUGUAUUGUGAUGCAUCAAGAGUAGGUUUGGGUUGUGUCCUUAUGCAGCAUGGUAAGGUCAUAACCUACGCUUCCAGACAGCUUAAAUCCCAUGAGAAGAAUUAUCCUACUCAUGACCUUGAGUUAGCAGCCGUAGUUUUUGCCUUGAAGAUUUGGAGGCAUUAUCUAUGUGGAGCUCAUGUAGAUGUAUUUAUAGAUCAUAAAAGCCUUCAAUAUGUCUUUUCUCAGAAAGAUCUCAAUCUUUGUCAGAGAAGGUGGUUAGAGCUUUUGAAAGAUUACAACAAUGAGUGUCUUUUAUCAUUCGGGCAAGGCCAAUGUGGUGGUCGACACUCUCAGUAGACUGUUUAAGGGUAGUGUUGCUCAUGUUGAGGAUAGUAAGAAGAUGUUAGGACAGGAAUUUCAUCAAAUUACCAGACUAGGUGUCCGCCUAGUUGAUUUAGAAGAAGGUAAUAUUUGGAUUUAGAGUAGUUCAGAAUCAUCUCUAGUUUCUAAGGUGAAAGAAAAGCAAGAUAGAGAUCCCAGUCUAGUCAAGUUAAAAGAUUCAAUCAAAGAUCAGAAAGUAGAGGUUUUCUCCCAAGGGGGAGAUGGUGUUUUUCGUUGUUAGGAUCGUCUGUGUGUUCCAGGUGUAGAUGACUUGAGUCAAUGAGUUCUUGCAGAAGCGUAUGGUGUGCGCUACUCUAUUCAUGCAGGGGCCACUAAGAUGUACCGCAUCUUGUGGGAGAUCUAUUAGUGGAGUGGGAUAAAGAGAGAUGUUACAAAGUUUGCCGCUAAAUGCUCUAUAUGUCAGUAGGUUAAGAUAGAGUAUCAAAAGCCUAGUGGGUCCAUACAGGAGUUCAAUAUUCCUACUUGGAAGUGGGAAAAAAUGAACAUGGACUUUGUGACGGGUUUUCCUCGUACUCAUUGCCAGCAUGAUUCAGUUUGGGUCAUUGUGGAUAGGAUGACCAAAUCAACUUAUUUCCUUCCAGUCCAUACCUCUUAUUCAGCCGAGGAUUAUACCAAACUCUAUAUUAGGGAGUUGGUCAGAUUGUAUGAUUUUUUGUUAUCUAUUAUCUCAGACAGAGGUACCCAAUUCACCUCUCAUUUUUGAAAAGCAUUCAAAAGGGUAUUGUACCCAAGUUCAUCUCAGUACAGCCUUUCAUCCUCAGACAGAUGGUCAAGAAAAAAGGAUCAUUCAGACUUUAGAAGACAUGCUAAAGGCAUGUGCAAUUGAUUUUAAGAGUAGUUGGGAUGACCACUUUCCUUUGAUUGAGUUUUCAUACAACAAUAGCUAUAAUUCUAGUAUUCAGAUGGCUCCGUUCGAAGAUCUCUUUGGUAGGUGGUUUAGAUCUCCAGUCAUUUGGUUCGAAGUUAGUGGGGCCUCAGUUAUAGGUCUUGUCUUAGUAAUCGAUGCCUUAGAAAAAGUCCAGUUGAUCAGAGAAAGACUCUGGGCUACUCAAAGCCGACAGAAGUCUUAUACAGAUAUGCGCAAAAAGGAUCUCGAAUACAAGAUUGGUGAUUAUGUCUAUCUAAAGAUCUCUCCCAUGAAUGGGGUAAAGCGGUUCGUCAAAAAGGGAAAGCUCAAUCCCUGAUAUGUUUGUCUCUUCAAAAUUCUCAGUCAUUUCGGCAAGGUAGUUUAUGAGCUCGUGUUGCCUUCAGAUCUGGCCUCAGUUCAUCCAGUCUUCUAUGUCUCUUUGCUCAAGACGUGCAUAGGUGACCCGACAGUCGUAGUCUUUACUCAGAGCAUAGAUGUUCAGAAUAGCCUUUCUUAUGAAGAUAUUCCAGUCGAAAUCCUAGACUAUUAGACUCGCAGACUGAGGAACAAAGAAGUCCCUUUAGUCAAAGUUCUUUGACAAAAUUAGUUCGUUGAGGGAGCUACUUAGGAAGCAAAAGAAGAUAUGCAAACUAAGUACCCUCACCUCUUCUAUGCUAACUCAGAUCUAGCUCAAGGUAAUAGUUCUCAUUAAGCUUUUUAGUUUCAUGUUUAGGUUUUAGUUACAAGCUUGGUAUCUAUUUCAUGUUCAGAAUUCCAUUAUAAACUUGGUAUCAAAGACAUUGCAUAUUUAUUAAUUCAUUCAUGUAUCAGUUCAAUCAAGUAAUCAUGUAUCAGAUAUGCAUUCUUAUUGUUAGAAACUUAGUUCCUCAAAACACUCAGUCAUGCAUUCAUGAAUCAGUUACUCAUGCAUCAGAUAUGCAUGUUCAGUAUGAGAUAUAUUUAGUUUACCAGUCAUGUUCGUCAUGAAGUCAUUUUUUGGUAAUUCAUGUUUAGGAUGUGUUUCAAUCUACCGUUUCUCCCUCCCAGUCAGUCUUAUUCGAGGACGAAUAUUUCCAAGUGGGAGAUAUUAUAAUACCCCGCACUUUCUUUAAGUCAAAUCUAGUCUCCAGAAGAGUUAGUGAUGACUUCCUAAAUGAUUACUAUUUAAACUAGAUAGAAUUUCCCUAAUUUCGACUAUUUAUCAUGUGGAAAAUUUAUUAGCUUUCCAAUGAUGCCGAUUUCAUCCAACUCCGAUAUCGGAGUAAAAAGUUAUGGAUAUUUUACAGAGGACUGUUGGAACUGCUCAGAAGCGACGAUCAGGCCGACGGACCGUCGAGCUAGCAAUGGACGGUUGCCCAAACCAUUGCAGGUGAGGCAGUAAGUCAAUCUUCUGGCUAAGGUGCGAUGGACAGGUUGAUGGACCGUCGAGCUUGCAACGGACCGUCGCUCAAGCCAUCGAUACUAAGGCAGUACAUCCCUAUUCUAGUCUAAGUGCGACGAUCAGGCCGGCGGACCGUCGAGCCAGCGACGAACCAUCGCACGAACCAUCACAGAUC